rnacentral:lncRNA from 1 species
CUGUAACCUUUCUGCUGGACAGGUAAACUGCUUUAACAAGCUAAGUGUCUGUAACUGCAGUCAAACGGGACCUGCUGUGUGUUGUAGCGUAGCUAAACUGUUGACCUUGGGUCCUGGAGUAUGUCAAUUUAUCCUAGUUGUAGACUACUAGCAAACAUGGUGUUUGCUGGUAGUCUGUUGGCAUCUACAGUAGCACCAAUGCUUUUGACUUUCACGUGGACUGGGCCCCAUUUGUAAUUAUCUGAAGUAUUUAUCUGCAUUAUCUGGAUUUAAUUGAAAUGAUAUGAGCGAGCGUCUGUUUAUGGGCGGGGCUUGCUGGAGCAGAGAGGGAGGGGAGAGGAGGAGCUGAGGGGAAAACUAGCUGGGUGGGGUAGUGUUUACAUUCAAGAUUUCUCCCCAAAACUGGCACUUCCUCGGAUCCUGCCUACCCCACCUCUAAAUUUAGCAGAGCUGAAUAAGGUGAUUGGGAUCAUGAAUCAGUGUCACACCAUGUUUGAAUCUUGCCCUAAAAUGUUUACUUCAUGUGCCAACUUUUUCUUUGUCAUGUGUGUUUUGUGUCUCUAACCACUCCUGCCUACACUCUGCUGUUUUCACCUCUUCAGCGGUUUUUUGGCCCACAGUAAAGAAACAAAUGAAAAAUCAACCGUUUCUCCCAGUAGAUUGAACAGUUCUCUGAUUUUGAUCGAAGCUUCAAAUCCGGCUGCUGUUUUUUUAAUGGUGUGCCAUCAAGAAAUAAUAUACUGUCACUGUGGAGAGUUAAUCAAUCAGGAUAAAAAAAUUAAUACACCCCGUAUAAUUACCCCUAAUAAAGCUGUAAGAGACACUAUUUCGUCCAGGGCUUCUUCGAGGAAGAGAAGAGGCAAAUACAUAAGAGGCUAGAUUAUCUGAUCAAUACAACAAAUGCACACUCACCAAUUCUUGACGCCAAGUUCUGGGCCAUACUGGAAGAAUCUCUUACGGUAUUUCCUACUAGUGUCGGUAUCAGUACAACUCUACCUCCAACUAUAAACCACAGAGUGGAAGCUAAGUCUCCAGCAUCCGCUCUGUGCACUAAUGUUUCUUUUUUAUGGCUAAUUGGCACAGCAUUAUGGCUGCAUGCAUGCUUCCCAGUGGCUGUAAAUAGGCAGCAGAGAGAGACGGGGGUGAUAAACUGCUUGCGUUUCUUAGUAUGGCAUAUAUGCAUGAGUAAGUGAUCAUGCUGUCUGUGAUUACCUCCCUAGAUUAGUUUAUAAUUAAAAAGAGCCUAGAGAGAGAAAGGGGGAGGUGUUGGCUGUUGCACUAUUACAGAAUAGAGUCAUAAGAGAGAAGAGUGGAGAUGGCUUAAGAUUGGCUCCUUGGGAGGAUUUACCCAGUGGAACAAAACAUUAGUUGUGAGUGUUAAUGAAGCUGAUGUAGAGGAACAAUUAAAACAGCAAAAUAGAGAUCUCUGCUAAUCCUCAGUCCUGAAUCAGUCUGAUUUAAUUACUCCUUUAAAAGAAACAACUUUAAGAAACAUUGGGGCUUGACAUAUAAAUGACUAACCUGUGAAACUAGUCAUUAAAACAUGUGGAAAGAGCAUUUUCUUAAUCCUUGGUUCAUGAUGUGACAUUCAAAAAGUUCUUUUUCUGGUUUCUUGAAUAACUAAGGCAACAGUCACAACUUUUAACCUUGUUGCUAUUAUCACUCCCCCUCAUGGUUUAAGUCACUUUGUAGCUAUAAGACGCUUUGGGAAACUGUGUGGUUUUCAGGACAGGAUCUUCUUACUGAAAUUGAAACUAACAUUUUUACCAUAGUGUCAAGAAGCAAAGGGGCGUAGAAACUCUUUUCAAAAGGCUGACUUGAAAUGACUUGUACGAUCUGGUUUUCUUUGGCACAGUAAUCCAUAUACAGAAUCAUUACUUUACUUGCUUUGAUUCUGACUGGUCAAAAUCAUAGACUGUAUAUACUAUGGACAACUUGGUUCUGCCUUCCGUUGUUAAACGAAUUUGAGGCCGAAUUGCUCUUGGUAUUUCCGGGUCUUUCUCCACUUCCUGGAGAACCAACACUUGUGCAUUUGGCGGGAGAGUCACAUAGAGUGGCUGUGAUGACGCUCGGCUCAAACAGCGUAUCCCCCAGGUGAGCUAAGCAAUCUUCGUAAGCUCAUAGGCUGUAUCAAGUGUCAAUCAUAGAAAACAUAAACCCCCUAUUAACUUUUAAAAACUGAGCUGUACUGAAAAAAAAGGACUUGAGCACAAACCGGUCUUACAGUAACUACAUGUCAACAUCCCAACCAGGGGGGAGAAAAAUGUAUGUUCUGUGUAAUUAAUUUCUAAAGUUUGUCCACAGCUCUGUAGGGAUUGCUGGAGGAGGCAGGAUUUAUGACCUAUACUGCAGCCUGUCACCAGAGGGUGCUGUCCUUGGAGUGGCUUCACCCAGCGAGGAGACAGAUGGCGUCCAUUCUAUAUACAGUCUAUGGUAAUCGCGAGAAAGUUGGGCAGUAAUUAUUUUUUAGAAAUCUUCUAACAGGCCAAAACCUUGAGCAGAACCACAAUCAGUGAAAGACAGCUUCUACUCUGACAGACUAAAUGUGACAGACUUCUCUUUUUUUCUCUGCUUUCUUUGGCAUAUGGAGAACAAAGGGUUGGGUUAAGAUUGGGGAAGUGACUGAAUCAGACCAAAGGUCACCAAAACCAGAACAGGUUGGCCCUUAACUCUCUUAACUCUGAAAAUGUUUGCGUGUGUGUGGCAGGGUGUGUGUGUCUAUCACAUAACUACAAGCGUCAGGUGUCAAGAGUCUAACAAUGGAUUCAACAAUCCUCUGCAUUGUCUAUUGUAUUUGAUGGAGGAUAGACUGUCGUAUUUCCCCUCUAGGAAGUUUUCCCCUACUUCCUUAAACGACUGUGUAAUGGAGGGUUUACACUCAUUGAUACACUUACCAAUGACAUUUUGGGGCCCUUUAACAGUGACUAAUUUCCCACAAAGCAAAGGUCCUUCGGAUUGCCUCCUCUGGUGUUUGAUGUCAGUGAUACAAGUGCAGCGGACAAAGCGAUCCCUGUUGCCUGUCUAAAUGUGUAGCCUGUGGCCUGGUAGCCUGAGGUGAAACAGGCAGAGAUGAAUGUGUAUUGAUGUCAGUCAGACAUGGAUCACAGCCAUCGAUGGGUCAGUGGUUCCUCACAAGGCCUGUCUUGUGCAAUUGUUGCCGAGUUUCUCAUGAGGAAUCAACCGGCCUGCUCGAUCCCAUCCCUGCCAGGCUGAUGCGUCAACACAUUUUUUAUUUCACAUUUAUCUGCUGUCAAAUGGCAUUAACGCUGCAGGCCCGGUAAUAGAAGUUGACUGUUGUGAGAUGACAAUUUGCAACUCCCAAAUUAAUAAUCUCACUCUAUUACUGGGCAGAAAUGCAGCUAUCAUGACACAGCAGAGUAUGUGUAAACAACAAAUCCGCACACCGAAUGGUCCAACUCUUUAACCCUUUUCUGCAUGUUUCGCCUUUUCUACAACAGAGCUCCUUCUGAUAACAAUCUGUGACCUAACAGGCGGAUUGAGAAAGACCAUCAGCCGAUGGCAGCUUUGACAACGGUAUAAAAGGCUCAUAGACAUCUAACAGACAUGAUUAGGAAGGAAGAAGAGUUCAUCUUAACAGAUAGCUGACUACAGCACGGGUAGUAAAUACACAAGAUUUAUGUCCUCUACACUUCACAGUGUCUCUCUGUAAGAUAGCACAGGCGGAUAGCGAGAUAGCACUAUCUGUGUUCCUAUCUGCACCAUCAUGGGGAAGGGUGAGGUCUACUAUUGUGCAAAGUCUACCGAGCAAAGAGGUGAUUCAAGUCCACAUGAAAGAUGAUAUUUUCAUUUUGUAGGCUCAAAUUACGGAAGUAAUGUAGAAGAGCUCUUUUUAGCAAAAAGAAUAAAUACAUUUUCUGAAGGAAAAUAAAUCUGAUGACUUUUUGAAUUAACUUAGUUUUACUGACUGCUUACUGGCAGAUUACAUAACUAAUUCAGUGAGGUGAUGUCAAAGUGAUUUUGCGUUAUUCAUUUAACAAAUAUGAGGAAGUUGCUACAAAAACUUUGAGUUUGUGGUCUGCUGAACUUUGUCACUUUAACUUCCUGCUUCAGUUCUGAGAAGUUACAUAUAUUUUUUUCACUCUGGCAAUAAAACCACAGGCAGUUUUUCUGAUUCGUCAUGACAUGACAGGGGCGUCCUAGACUUUGAGACUCUGGCGGCCCACACAGGGCCCUAACUUAUCAAAGUAUUUGUGCAAUACAAUGUAAAGGAUUUAUUUAUUUUUUUGCUUUAUUCUAUUAACUAUUUAAUCUUAAUUUAUAUUGUAGGAAUUUUUUGUAGUGAUACAUUUAAUAGACGUAAACUUGAUUGUGUCCAUACCAAUCAUAUCAGUUUUAGCUACGAGCAUUUGGCUGUAGUAACCGUUUGUGUAGUUUUUUUUAUUCAUAAAGAGCACCCAGGAGACAUUAUAAAUCUUUUUCGUCUUUUUAUUUAAGGGCUAUAAAGAAACAUUAAUCUCCAGUUGUUAGUAAAAAUAAAGUAAAAACCACAGACUGUGCAAAACUAUGGAUGACACAGCAGCUAUCCCGAAUGAAGCCAAAGGUUUUAGAGCUCCCUUUAGUGACUGGCUGCAGUGUCCCUCAUACAGCCCGCUUCCUCCAUUAUAACACAUGGAACAUGUGUCAAACUAGAUAAUUAAAAUGCAUGCCAAAUAAUCAUUCUUUUUUUCAUUCCACAAGUUUUUUUUUAAUUAGUUAUUUGAUGUAAAAAAAAUACUGAAUGACAGCUUUGUUAGCAGCAUUAGGUUCUGCAGCUUUAUGUCCAGAGUUAUGGGAGUAAAGGAGGAGGAGAGAGAGAGAAAACACAGUAAAUGCUGACUAAGGAGUCAGUGAUUAAAUGCCACAAAGCUCAUAGCGUCUUUUUCCAACACACUUUAUUAAAAGUUUUAAUAAAUUAGACCUCUGACAGGCCAAUCAUAUUCAAGGAUUGGGGAUGACACUCCCUUGUCACUUGAGGCCAAGUUGUCAAGUGGUCACAAAUAUAACACCAAAUUUUGAGUAGAAGUGGUAACCACUGGAGCUUUAGGCAAUCUGUGUAAUGCUUCAGAAAUGUACAUUAAGUUCAAAUGAAAAGUGAAAGUCACCCUGAAGCUGCCUGGAAAUAUUAUGCUGACAGUUGUUUAUUAUUGUAAGAAAAGAAAGUGGGUGCGCACUGAGGCAUGGACCUCUGCAUCACAGCCCUCUGCUGUUUCUGCUGCUCAUACAUCCCUCAGCAUCGCCAAUGCUCCAUAUGUAUUGUCUGAGUAAAUUCAUUUGUCUGUAUUUGCCCUUGGCGUGACCAGGGCUGAGAGAGGAACAAGACUAAUUUCCAUCCCUGAGCAGUGCCGCACUCGCUGCAUCUGAUACGGCACAUUUGAAUGGAUAUUACAGAUAACAAUGCCCUCUGUUGGCCCCAAUAAGCCUCACGCCGCUCUCUGCCUCCUCCACCCUCCUCCUACUUGAGCCCCCUUCUCAUCUCUAUGUUCAGACGUGCAAACACGGAAACAUUUUAACUAUCCUGACCUUCAUUUUUAAAAAUAAUUCCAUAGACAUUGUAAAAUCUUAUUUCUGAGCAGCUCCUCUUUUGUUCUCAUUGAUACACUUUGUGUUCCUUUGUUUCUCUUCUCAUCUUUUUUGCUCAUAAUCUUUAAAUGAACGAAGCGCCUUUAGUUUACAUAAUUAUCACUUGUGGAUGUCAGCACAAAGCAAUGUUGACAUUCUGCUUGAUUGCAUAUUAGGGACGUGUGUUCUCUUUGUGAUCAUUACUUUGUUCUCACAGAAGAAUGGAAGUUGCUGAUAAAAAUAAUUGGGAUCUCAUUUAGAGCGAAUAUUAACUCAUAGAGAAUACAUAGUUCAGUGAGAGGAUGCCUGAGGGCUUAAAACAAACACUUGGUGGCUCUUAACAGAUCAUUGGCUGUACACCAAUAUUAGUGUAUCUGUAAAAAUUACCACGUAUUCCCUCAUGAGUAAUCAUAAUAACUCAGUAAUUAGAGAGGGAUGAUUUCAUUUGCAAUUACAGAAUUAACAACUAAAGCUUCCUGUUGCAUUGUAAAAUGUAAAAAAACAAAGAGUGUUCAUAUGCAAUUAUCCAUCACAACUAUUGAUGUUACUUUCAAAGUAUUUGUAAUUGGAUUAAAAUGUAAUGAAAGCAGUGGUACUGUUAUGACCUUUCAUGAUACCAUAACAAAAUGAUAACCAAAAUGUAUAAUAUAGCCACUUUAUAAGCAAAUGUGGUUGUUUCAGGAAAUCAACAGAAUUAAAUUUCAGUUAUGUUCACUGUCUUGGUUUAACAAGUUCGGGAACUAACGUUAAAAUAUUAGUAUUGAACACUAAAUGCUCCUGAGGUCAAUGGAAAUAUUAGUUUGGUAUUUGGCUGCAAACAACAGCGGGUGAGAAACUGUAAUCCAACAACCAGAGUUAUUAUAGUAUAUCCAAAUGAAGACAUAAAAGCUUUGACUAAACUUUACAGCAAUCAAGCCAUUAGUUUCAACAAAUUAGGUGAUUUUAUAUUUCAGAGAAAAAAACCAACAGUCAUUGGGGCGUAUCCUUCUGGGACCAUGACCUGUUAAACCAAAUAUAAUGGAAGUCUUUGCAUCUAUCUAACAGUGGUGGAGACUUUUAUUACAAAUCCAUUUAUAUGAGCCUGUUAUGGGCUCAGAGGAGUUGCAGGGGUCUUUAUCUGUUGACCAUGAACCAUCUAUCGUCUAUCUACUCCCUUUUGGAGUCACAAUGGGGCUGGAGGCUGUCCCAGAAGGGCACACUCAGGACAGGUCACAAGUGUAUCGCAUGGAGAGACAGACAGACACACUCACACCUGCAGGCAGUUUAGAGUAUCCAGUUAACCCUGUGAGCAUGUCUUUUGACUGUGGUAGGAGGUCUGAGCAUCUUGAUGGAACCCAUUCAACCAGCUGUUUAGAGAUGCAGCACUUAGGGCCAAAUGAUAGCUUUUGGGGGCUCUGUGUGCAUGCUGGCAUUUGGAGAAGCAAUUCAGGAUAACCAAACCAAGACUGGCUUUUCAAUGUUGGUCAGUUUUGACUUUUUUUUUUUUUUUUAUUUUUUUUACUUGGGUAAAUUAUUAAAUCUCUUAUAUGCAAUCAUGGUCAUUUGGUCGUGGAGGACUGCAGGAGAAAAUAUGAGAGACCCUACAUGUGAUGUAUUCAACAGUUUUGAUGCAUGGAAAGCAACAUUAUGAUUAAAACAUGCUACACACAAACAGAUCUUAGUCACAAGAACUCUCAAACUGGAAAUCCUGUAAAGCCACUCCCAAAAAAAACAAAAGUAAAGACAUACAAUAGAUGAGGCAAUCAGAUCCAACUUGUUUUCUGCGAAACCUGUUUUUCUGCAUAUGUUAGAUGCCUGUUGGCUCAGCUAUUCAAUAGUACCCAGGUGAACCAAAACAAAAACACUUCUGAAAACCAAAUACUUAACCUUGGGUUAUGAACUCAGAGUGGAGGAACCUGAAAAGUUUAUUUUCUGGCUCUGAGGCUGGUCGAUUCUUGAUGUAGACUACGAAAACUGCAGUAAUAUCAGAAAACAGGAAACAGGUUAACAAAUCUAACCCCUGAAGGAAUUAAUAUAGAAGUGUGAAGAAUGAAGGGACCAGCCCAGAAGGAGGUCUUGCGUGUUAAAGCUGCCUGCAGAAUACCAAAUAUCUCCAAAGUAGAAAAAAGGAAGGGAAGGCUGCGUGUUCCCCCUCGAUCCCGGGCUCUUAAGUGGUGAUACAGGCUCCCCAGGGUCAUCUCUUAAAACAUCUUAAAAGCCCAGACUGUCUGUGGCUAUAAUAAGAUGUUAUUGAGAAGAGUUCUCCCGACUCUGUCUGCCUCCCUCUGCUAUCAGACCACGCUGCUUACUCUCCUUGCUGCUCCACCUCAGGGUUAUUUUUAAGUCUGUUUGGGAGGCACACGGUGAGCACUAUACUUACCCAGGUAUAGGUCUGUUUUGGCUUGUGUGUGUUGGUUCAAACUCCGAGAGGUGCAUUCAGUGUCCUGCAGAGGAGGAGAGUAAGACAAGGUCUGUGGAAAUGAGUGUUUGGGGUUUGUGCAAGAGCGCGUACGCCAGUGGGUGGAUACCUGGGUCACUAGGUGCACUGAUCAGUGUGUUUUGGCGCAGCUGCAUCCAACCAGAGGCCCUGACUGUGUUUGUCCCGCUGACUGCCCCGUAAUCCUAUAAUUAGAGCUUGGGCGGACCAUUUUAAUGAAGGCUGGCUUGGAUGGAUGAGUGUUUCUGUUUGGAUCAUUUUGGUAAGAGUGUGUGUUUAUUUUAGAGUGUGGCCAUGCUGACCGCCGGGCCUCUCAAGCACAGGGCUCAGUGCUCCGGUCUGGAUUUAGCAGUGACCCUCAGCUCCUUCACUAUUCCUCGACACAGAUAACAGUCAUCUAUGAGCACUUUGUUUGUUAGCUUUUACUCUGAUUCACCCUUGGAAAAAUGUUGCAGCAUGAAAAAAAUAAAAGUGCAGUCCAAACCAAAAAAUAAAAUGUGCAUUUUUGUUAUCAUGCUGAAAAUUACAAGAACAAAAUCCCUCUUUUAUCUGCAGCCAAUCUGAUACUAUCUCCAAGUUAGCCUAGUUAAGCAUGUAGACUGCUCUGUCCAGUGACAACAAAACUGAAGCAGUACUUCUUAAGCUUAGUCAUGACAUGGGAGUUGAUUUUACAGGAAAAAGGAGGUUUGUUUUUACAGAGGUCAUGUGCUUUUUGGGUAGGAUGUGGAGAAACUGAGAGUCCCAAAAUCAACCAAUGGCCUUAAUUUAACUGCUGUGUAACACCAUGUCUGUUUGUUUUACUGUCUAAUGAAAUUACAUUACAAGUCAAAAACAGCCAGUUUAGUUACCCAUACCAGUUACUUUUAGGCAUUCAUCCUCCCCCGAUCGUCCUCGGCACUAGCACAGCUUUCAUGGGGCACACAUGCAGCAGGAUCAGGUUGUCAUUUUUCACCUCAGUUUCUAUGAACUUUAAAAAUUUAAGGCGCUCACUGCAGAGAUUUAAAUAUGCUCACAGGUAGGUAACCCUUAACACUGGACAAAGCCAAUUUGCUCUUUACCCACGACUGCUGUUUUAAGCCAUAAGCUCUAAUCACAAGACUCUGAGGUUUAGUGAACAUGAGUGAUAAUGUUCCUUUUGACAUGACUCACUGUCAUGGCUGUUUACAUGGAAGUCUGCGGCUCACCAUCAGCCACGAAUACUUGCUCAUAACAGUUUCCAUCAUGAGUUACUAUCAGCAUCUUUUCCACCGUGAUCAUCAGAGCUGCAGUCUUUUUUUCUCCAUGUUCAAACUGCUCUCUUUCCAACGACUGAACCUUCUAGUCAACAUCCUCACACAGCCAAUAAAUCAGUUUUUAUUGAUGUUGUUUGAUAAGUGAAAUGCUGUGAAAAAAACUUCUUUGUGUGGAUGAUUUCAAUCACCUCAGAAAAAUUAUUUUAAAGAAAUAUUGUCACAUCUUAUACCUCUGGUCUACCCUUCCCCUUAAAGGCACACUAAGGAAUUUUUGACUUAUUUUGACGUGGUCUCAUUUGUAAAAUCAUUUCUCUUAUGACCUACAGAGUAAAAUAAAUUUAUCAGCGACAGGAUAUUUCUCUGCUGACUUUUGGUGUCUGUGUUUGGGGUGAAUUUCUGAGUGUUUUUAAAGAAUAUUUUUUAGAUGAAUUUUGGGGCUUUUUGCCCGUCUUAAUAAGACAGUUUGGACACCAACAGGAAAUGCCUGGAAUCAACCCCUCAGUUAGGACUGCAGUCUCCGUACAUGCGGCACAUUUUUGUGAAAUGCACUUUCCUACUUUAGCAAUCGAGAGUUGUGGAAAAUUAUCAUCUCAAUAUGUGGUUUACUGUACUCUUCAAAAUGCUCUGUAAUACUUUACACACAUUGGUAAGUCUGCAUCUUUCACUGAAUGAUUUUUUUCCCUUUAAAAACACAAUUUCAUGCAAAUAUUUGAAUGACUUCAACCGUUUAAGAUGAAAAACAGUCUUAUCUUGAAACAUGCUUCCUUUGCUUAACCAAUUUUUCGCCUUGUAUGCUUUUAGAACAACUUGUUUUACAGAUACCAUCUCACAAAAUCAACAUUUAUAUUGCAUUUUGUGGGUUAAGAGCAGACCACCUUUACGAGUAGAAGCUGUACUACAAGAGCAAAGCCUCCUGUCUGGAUGUUAACAUCCUGAUGCUUUGGAAACGCUUCCAAUCCAGCUGUCUGCCUGGCACCGACUUGUUUGGGUUGCUGAAUGCAGUGGGAGCGUAUGUAGGCGACGUUCAACAGUAAAUCUCAACAGUAAUGGCAGCAGAACUAAAAUUGAGCGGAAUGGAGACAGAUUCUGGAGUCGUUAAGUUAUAAUGAGAGAGGAAAGCAGAUAUCUCUGAAUUUGACUUAGGGCCAACACCAUUAAGAGAAUGAUGGAUGAAACAAUUCUAUCUGUUAUCUUUACUCAAACACUGGACAAAAGUAGAGAAAUACACACACUUUUACCUACAGCCUUACUUACUUCUCUAUGUUCGAGGUUCUCUGCUCCUACACACAUACAUCUGUCUCCUGACUGCUGAGUUUGCAUCUCACACCUCUCUCUUCUUAGUGUGUCUCCACCUCUUUCUCUGUGUCUUCUUCUCUUUUCAAACCACACACGACUGCAGACCUGUCACGACGCUCCUCUCUUCUCCUUUCUUCUCCCAUUAUGUUGCUUCUCUUUCCACGUAUUAUCUUACUCCUGCUGCUGCAGCAUGUCAACAGAGUCCUGUCACUGUAGGAUGGAAACACAAAAAAUGUCAACACAAGCAUGAGGUUUGAGGAGAGGUGGUUUCAUGUUGACUCACACGAGUAUGAGCAUGUGGGAGGCUAACCAGUCACCAUGAUACAGUGAAAAUGACACUUGUCUGUGUGGAUUUCAGACACAGAGAGAAUAAGAAACCACACAACUUUCCCAAAACUACAAUCAGGGAUAUUUUGAGGGAUAAAAUGUAUUUUGAGAUUAUUUUUAAUGCGCUCUUGAGCCGUAGAGCAAUUCAGAAGCACUUAAAGUUUUAUAUCUUAAAACCUUUUAUGAUUACUUUUAAAUGUCAGUGAAACCUCAUGGCAACCUCAUGAGGAACCAUUCAUUCAAAGGGUCCCAUUAAAGGCCAGCAUUUUUAUUUCAGCUCUCACUGUGCUUCAGUUGUCUCAAGAUAAACUUUUUGAUUGAGUGUUUUGUAUCAGGAAACUAUGACAUGUGAAUAAAGGAAGGGUUAUCUUCCUGUGGGUUGAGAUUUAGCAGCAAAGCUAACUCCAGACCAACAAUCAGUUGCUUGAUUGCCAGUAUAUCAGAACAGCUUCUCAAACCCUCUCCACCCACACCUCUCUGACUAAAGCUGAACUGUGGUGGCUUGUAUGACUUUCUAAAACCAUCAAUCUGACAUUUACACCAACUUCACCCUGUGAUUGACCUGCUGUGCAGAGGCGAGAAAGUUAGCAUGGGUCUGACCUUCUGGCUUCUUUCAUUCUUGAUGCAACUGUGUCUUUAUAUUUUAUUCAGGCUUCAUACUGCAGAAAAACAUGCAAUGCUGUGAAGUCUGACUUUAAAUCAGACUUUGGAUUACCAAACUCAAAACCAAGUGGCUGCCUCAGGUGUUGGAAAAUAACGAUGAUAUCUAGAAGUACAAGAAAGUUAGGGUGACCAUAUGUCCUAUUUCACCCAGACAUGUCCUCUUUUUGGGGGGGGGGGCUGUCCGGCCUUGUCCGGGGGGUUUAUAAAAUCCUUCAAAUGUCUUGGGAUUUGUAUGGAAGUUUUGAGUUUGUGUCGCGUGUAAUUACUGAGUAAGAAUCGCAUAAAAGCGCAAAAACGCUCGAUCCGACCCAAUAACUCUCAAUAUUUACAUGCGACUCUGUGACUCUACCCCUGCGUAGUCGUGUCCUCUUUUUGGGGAUUCAUAAAACGGUCACCCUAAAGGCUAAAACAUACAGGAUGCGUAUUUGGAGCAUGGCAGCAGCAUCGUGUAUCAAGCAGCAAAUAGGUUGCCAUUCUAAUCAAUGCAGCAAAGCAUACAGGAUGCGAAUCAGCUCCGUCGUAGCAUCGUAUCGAGAGCAGCACUGCUAAAGAUAUGCAACAAGUCUAUUUUUGUUGCUCUACGCUUCCAAUGUGCGUCAAUCCACACAGAGAAGCUCGUCCUAGACAGGAAGUCAAGCAUGAAAAACACACAUGUCAUCUGGUAAUUUAAAAUAAAACACCAUAUGCGAACUCCCAACUGUGUAUCAGUUCAUGCAGAUGAGAAAUACUUCCUGGUUAUGGUUAAUCCCUGAUCCGUAUGGACCCCAACAGGACUUUGAACUGCUAACUCUGCUAACUGAAUAUAACAGCACAGCAUGAAGGAACAUAGUUUACUUUAUUAAACAAGAGUAAACCUGCAAAAACCCAAACUGUAAAAUCAUGUUGCUUUUUCACAUAAAGUAGAGGCUCAACAGUCACUGAAUUAUAUCCAAAUUAGCAGGAAAUAGACCACAGAAAGACAAAAACACCUGUUGUGAGCAUGUUGUUUCUUCUUGCGAUACCCAAUGCUGCUCUAUGGAGCAAAUACAGAACACGCUCAAUACGGAUCCUGUAUAUUUUUGGCUUGAGAAAGUGCAUUUUAUCAGGAGCCUACAGACUCAGCUCCACCUUUUAGCCUGUUUCGGGGUUAAUGAAAGUUAAGUUGAAUCAAGAUUUUCAAAACUGCAACCAUUAUUUAGUUUCAAAACCCCUCUUCAAGAACCAGUACACUACAGCAGGGCUCUCAAUUUUUGAACUAAGCUUAGAGUGAGAGGUUCCACAAACAUGGAGAUACUUAAUCCCAUGGUACAUCAGCAUUACACUGUCAUGAUUAUCAGAACUUUAAAAAGAUUAUAUGAGACAUGCUGCUUUUGUGGAGGGAAAAUGGCUGGAAAUGGCUGUACAGAGGCUAAAUUCAUAAAUACAGCUGUUAAUUGCAAUAGCAUAGGGCUUUAGUUGAUCACAUGAGUUUAUCUGCCAUGAGGUGUUGAGGUCUCUGCAUGUGUAAGUUACUGACUUACUGAAAUCAUCGGGUCUUUCUCGUCCUUACAAAAAUCUGCUCUAUUUCGGUGAGUGUCUGUCUUCUUCUGUCGCCAACCUGCAAGAUAUUAAAAUCUACCUGGAUACAGCAAUGCUGCUUUUUGAUUGGCUGUUCAGUAGAUAUACUUUAUUUGAUUGGCUUGCACGUGGCACGCAGCUUCUGAACUCUCGGAGGAACUUCCUACCUGUUCCAUUGUUAAAGAGGUGCAACUUGUGGACAUCACCGUGUUCAUUUAAAUGUGUGAGAAAUUCAAUGUGUGGCGUGUGAGCGUGUGAACGGGUGGGAAUGCGUGUGUCACACACUGAAUGCGUAAGACUGGAGAGCCCUGCUACAGGUGUCUUCUUCAGGUUGACCCUGAAGGAGACACCUGUAGUGUCGAAAUGUCACUUUACUUGCUAAUAAAACUGCUCGAACACAUCAUGUGCUCAGGAUCUCUUCUCCUCACAACGUUUUAAAAUUAAUUUUAAUUACGUAAUGAAAUAAGAGGAAAAAAGACAGGUAUCAACAUUUUCUUCAGAAACAUUUUUUGUUUUGUUUUGGCUUUUGUUUUUGUGGGGACUUUAUUAUCCUUUAAAAAAAAGACACUCAGAAUAAGGAUCAGGUGUUAAAAUUGGGUGUUUAAUACAUGUGGAGCGGUGACAAAGCAAAAGGGCAGUGUAAAUGAGAAAGACACAGGUUGCAUUUCUGACAUCAGCAGAGUGUUAGAUGCCCGUCUAUAUUCACAGCGAUCAAAAGGUCAGAGUGUUGUUCUGACAUUCUCCACACCUCUGUAGCUCAUAUUCCCCCGCCAGGAUGUGGAAAUGUUAUUUUUGCAGAGAUGAAGGCUGGUUGGAGCCAGUGUUGAACUAAAAGUCUGUAUCCUGAAUGGAGUUUCCACAAGAUUUUGAGAGGCUUGACCUUUCAUUGAUAGCCUGAAUACGUGGUACUUUCCCCUUGGGGUAAAAAGAAAAGGUGCGUCGGCUGUUUUUCUCUUCCUCAAUAGGAGCUUUAUUGAACAGUAAAGUAAAAGAAAAAUGGAGUCUGUUUCCUCUCCACCUUUCGCAUCGUACAUUGGACAAAAAUGCGAUAAAAUCCAAUUCUCAUUCAUUUCGUAACCUUGGUGAGAACCCUUUGAUUUGUUUUUUUACCACACAAAUGCAUUAGAGACACAAGUGCAUUGAAAAUUGACGCCAUUCAGGGCAUGUUCCAGUAGACCUCAAUGCCAUGUUAUAUGAACCGUGAAACACGCACACCUUUAUACCCGUGCUUUGUGCACCACUAGUUUUAUGGUUUUUGUGAUUUUAUGCUCCGGCUUUCCGGAUUUUGCUGUAUAACAUCAUAUGCAACAUCGGCGGCGGAGGAUAUGAUCAGCUGGAGUAAAAUACAACAAGCCUUGAAGUAUUAUUGCCCCAUAAAACAUACAUAUCAGACUCUAUUACUGCGCAUGUAAGACUUCUACUGUCCCUGUUUUUGCCUUUCAAAAAGCGUAUUGAUUUAGCCUCACAUGAAACCAUUCCCACCUUAUUUCCCUCAAGACUGCAUGGACUAAAACCCCUCCUGUCUACGUUGCAGAUAUUGUACUGUUACUCUUAAUACAUCAACACACACAGGUACACACCUUUGCCUCUCUCUUCUAUAAGUAUAACUCACAGGACAUGUAAUCUUUCAAUAAAAGAAAGUACAUUUUCUCAUGGCGAUAACUUAUUUUCACUUUGAUAGUUUCAUACACUGGAGGGUGCUGACUUUGUCACUGUGUAAUCCCUCUUUUUGAUUUAAACAUAAGAAGGGUUUACAAACAAAGUGUAUGAGAGCUUUGAAAUUUAACCCCAGUGAUUUAGAUGUGCUUUUAAUGAAUCUGUGUUUUAUUAGAUCCAAUUGCAUUCAGCUGAAAGGCCGCACAAGCCUGCGCUGACUUCACAGCAACUCCACUUUCCUUUUUUUGAGCUUUCAUAACAGAGCCUCAUUGUCUUUGCACGUAAGGUUAGUCUCUGUUGUUCUCGACGGUGGUUUGUGUUGGCCGGGGCAGGUGGCUGGCCCUGAUUUGAUUAGACUGAUGACGAACAAGGAGCUCCGCAGAGGAAGGGAUAGGUGGUGUAUUCAUUUCCUUUCACCUGCCAGUGGUUUUCUCAAAGGAGGAAGGAAAAUCUCAGACAUAUAUGAGGAACAUAAAACAGUGCCAGAUGAAGAUGUGAUUGACAUGAGGAUGUUGGAAAACAUUAAAGUUUUCAAAAAAUUUUCAUGAAUCUGUAAAACACAGAUGUGAUUUACAGAUCCAGUCUCUUUUGAUAACUGCAAAAACCUACGACAGGAUCGCUAACUUAAAGAAUCAUGAAAACAGUCAAAUUUGAGUCCAAAUUCUCAGGAUCUCUCAGCAAUCAUUGUUUAUCAUCAUCUCAUGACAGUAAUAAGCCUCUGAGAAUGGAUGCAAACUUCUUGGUAAUUUUGGUGUAGCCAGAGGUGAGGGUUAAUCAACUUCCUGGCAAGACUUCCUCCGUGCAUCCUUCAUGUUGUCAGCCGCACCUGUUUGUCUGCUUCUGGCAGGUCUCAGGUCAACAGAUGAUAAAAAAGUUACGCAGAGGCUUCAGUCUAAAGAAUUAUCUAUUAUUCUUGUGAAAAACUUUCAAUUAACCAGUCCUCAGUUGGCUUAAAUAACACCAUGAUGCAUAGUCCAGAAUAUUGGAUGCAUAAUUUUCACACUCACUGACUUUACUGCCCAAAAGUCAGUUGUUAGUACGUGAAUGAUAUGAUCAAAGGGAUAUUCCUCAAUUUUUAAAGAGGGGUUAUAUGAGUAACAUAUUACGAGUCAGUGUAUCGGCCACAGUGGAUUCUUAUUAGUCUGCUCCUUAGUGAGAAUCUGAGGGGGGAACCAGGAGCUAAACUAGGCUAGAUAGGCAAAAUAAAAUAAAAAAAACUGCACGCACGCCACUACAUUUUCAGAAAAGAUUUCAUUUACACUAACCCAUGUGUGUAUGCACUCAAGAACAUAUCACAUAUGUAAGUGGCAGUGUAAGAAGCUCGAGCCCACGUUAGCCAAUCAGAAUCCUGCAUAGCAGCAACAGCAACAACAUUCCUUCCUUCAUUCCAGUGCACAAUCUACCGUCAGCUACUCAAGUUUUCUCUGUUUACAUGCAAACAAAGUUUUCCAAAAUCUCCACUCUGGCUGGAAUUUUUAAAAGCAUCAUUUUCAGGGGCAAAAUUUUAGUUUGCGUCUAAACGAAGGGUGCAAACGAUGGUUAAAAAAAUAACCGGGUACGUAUAAACGGGGCCUUAAGCUCUCAUCUCGUAAAGUGCACGCCCUCCUAAGAUUUUUUUCAGCACUUUAUUUUGCUGUCAGAAAGUUUAUUAUUUUUGAACUAUUUUGCAGACACAACGCACAGAAAUUCUCUUCCAUAGUUAGGUUGGGUAAAACCAGUUACUGGUCUAUCUGAAGCAGUUCACUUUCCAGUAUUAUAUCUGAGGGGUGUCCAAAGCGGUCUUGUAAGGGUGCCCUGAAACGGAUCACAAAACAGACAGUCAUGUUAAGCAAUCAAAACUUUAGAGGAGGAUAUGAUGGCUUCUGCGAUAUUUAAGAAGACCGUGUUUCCUUGAUGUAAUAAUAUAUUUUGAUUAUAUAUAUUUUCACAAACUGUUCCUUUAAUGGUAAUAAAUGUAAGUAGAGUUAGCAAAGUUAACUCUAUUUUUCCACAGCUAUUGGCACAAUCCCAUACUUCAUGUUAUAACAGGACUAAACUCCCAUGGGUGGCACUAAACACCAUCCAUCAAAAAUGAAUCUUCAGUGGCCCACAUGUAACUCCUGCAGCCAAAAAUAGACAACCCUGGUCAACACUCAGCAGCUGCAUGCACUAACAAUCAUCCAGAGCCGUAGCCAUAGUGACUCAAGGACAAUGCCAAUGUUUAAUCUGAAAAGAAAAUCAAACAGCUGUUGUGUUGUUAAUUUUAGGUUUAGUUCAAAUGCACAAUUGUUUACGGUGAUACUAGAGCUACACCACACACAAUUAAGACUCAAUGGGCAAUAUUCAAAUAUCUCAAACUAGGAUUGAGACUUGAGUUGAGUACACAUAAUAGUACACAAAUAUCAUAAAUCAGUGUCAGUAUGUUUCCUCUCAUAACAAUAAGCAGUAAAACCUUGCUUUUCUGUUUUCCCUAGAUAACCACGCCUCUGUGUAUUUCAAUGAUUUCCCUCUAUCUGAUCCCCCAUUGUCUAAAUUCCCACCUGCCUGUCUGGGCUUUUUGUUGGAGCUUUGUUGGGCCCUGAGAGCAGCUUAAUACCUGUGGCUGAUCCUAAAUCGGCAAAAGGCUUUCUCUCAGACCUCCCUCUGCUCCUCAUUUCCUUUACCAACAGUUGUUUGCAAGAAAGGGACAAACAGGUUCUGUGAAAGAAAAGAGAUGAAUCAUAGUGUAAAGAGGGGGUCCUGGCGGGCCUGAAGUCAGUGUAAAACAAGAACCAACAGGUUCAGGGUCUUCGUCUUGAAUCCAAUGAAGGAAAAGAAGAAAUGAAAUUCUCUCAAAUAGUUUGAAUGAUUACAUUUCCAUCCAGAUAUCAAUGGUAUUAUCAAACAGAGAUAGCAGAACUCCUUGUUCCCUAUCAGCACAGUCAUGAACAAAUCUUUCACAGUUAUCAGAAAAGGGGAUGUGUCAAAAUUGUUCUCAGCAGGGUUCAUUUUUGUCUGUUUGUUUACCGAGCAUAUUAGAGUCUGGGGCCUGUUGUGUUUAAUGUGGCAGACUUUCAAAGAAGCUAGAAUUCAAAGGAAGGGCCUACAGCGUCCAGUGCAUCUCUAAGCAUUGGACAGUGUGCCAAGGUAAAUACGGUGGUAAGCCAGCUGAUUUGUAACAGCACUCACCUAAAUGGAUACCACUUGCUUCGAAUGAAAGCAGGCCUGUGUACAAUGACAAAUCCAAACCAAGCGUAGAUGUAGUCUGCGACCAGUGAUCACAAUCAAGCCCAAAGACACUAAUACCCUCAGUCCCGAUCUGUCAUUUAGUCCACUUUAAAUCAAGAAGAGCAAUGGAAAACAAUUCAGGGCCUCUGAAUAGCCACGGUCAAAUGGGGCUAAAAGAAAGUAAAUUGGAUUAGUAGUCUUCAAUCAUUCAAUCCCACUAUUGAUCCCCAGCCAGAGGAAAUAUCUGGAUAGCUGCUGCAGUAUCCAAAGUGGGAUUGAUUGAGAAAAUGGGACAGACACCAGCUUGAUUUAGUUGAUGCAUCCAAUCACUUCUAAGUUUCACAAACACACACACACACACACAUUUUUUUAAGUAAGGGUAAGUGACUUUAAAAAAAACUAGAAAAAAGCCUAUAGUCAUUAAAGCCAUUAAACAUUUAAAAUGAGCUUAUGUUUUACAGUUACAAAUUACAGAAAUACAGAUCAGCAAAUGUUCAAUAAUGGACAAACUAUACAACUUCAUCACUGGAGUUUCAGUAUAGAUGCUCCUGGUCAAAUAUUAGGUUUAAGUCGCUGAGUCAAAUUAUUACUUGAGUUAAAGUUCCAGAGAACUUCCUUUUGAAAAUACUUUAGUAUUCUGAUACAGUAUGAAGCAAAUACAAAAACAACCAACCCCAGAAAAAAAUGGACCAAGUUACAAGCACAGAGAAUAUCAAUUAAAUAAUAAAAAAAAAAACUCUGUGUCAUAUUAAAACAGGCUUUAACAGGGUGGGUUGGCUGUGAUAAGGUUUUCAUGUGGAAACCAGAGAUAACAUUGACGUGAUACAAAUUAUUCUUAGUUUCUAAAAAACCUCAAACAAAGGCUACAAGAUCAAGUGGCCAGACUGGACCAGUCUCUCUCAUCUAAAGCGAAGCCCCUUUAUUCUGUUCAGGCCAUUAUUUCAAUCAUAAGUGGUCAGUGUAAACAUAGCAACAGAGCUUCACUCUGGAGGUCAAUCCAUAGUCAUCAGGCUGCUCAUUUUCUGUGUCUACACCUUUGCAUACAAAGUAUUUUCAAAAUCGCUUUAUAAAGCUGGAGGGCGUCAAGGAAGCAGUGAGUAAUGUAACUUCUCAGUUUUGCUGAGGAGUUAAUUAUUCCAUAUAUAGAAUAUCACAGUCUCAAACCAGAUGCAGGUGAACAGAAAAGCAGAAAAGGCUAUGUGUGCUUGUGAGUGCAUACCCCACACAGACAGACACAUACAUGAGAAUUACUUAUAUUGAAUGAAACUGAUGGCUCUAAUUAUUUCAACAAGAGAAACCCACUAAAUGCCUCCUUUUCCACUUUGCAAUUGCACAGUGGGGUGAUUGGACUGAUUUUUCUGCUGAAAGAGGCCAAUCAAGACAAAUCAAGAGGCCAAUCCCGGGGUUUCUUCAAAUCCUAAUUUUCAAAAACUGCAAAAAUUCAAAAUGUAUCCAUUCAAAGUAAAUCAGUUGAAUUUUCCUCAUCAAAUGUCUUCAUUACAUAUUUGCAGCAAUACCAACAGAAAAAAAAAAACUUUUUUUUUUUUAUGUAACCAGACAUUUUUCAGCUCUUUAAAAAGAAACUUACAGAACUUUAUUAUCAUUAAAACUAUUCAAGAUGGAUUAUUAUUAUUUUUAUUUAUUUUUCCAUUUAUGCAUCACAAUGGGCAUCUUCUAAGGCCAGAGUUUGCUUUUACUUUUGUUGUUGGAUACAUAAUCACAACAUGUUUUAUGCAGAACAAUAUUUUAUUUUUACCAUUCUUUUUAAACAGGAUAGGUAAAAUGUUGUCAUGCAUUUUAGUCGGUUACCUCAUUAAUAUUCUUGUGGAUGAGCAUCCAAGUACGUAUUUGUGAAAUGUUGGACACCACCUCUAAAAAACAUUUGGGGGUUUGCAGUAUGAACAUUUUAAUUGGUUUCAUAUCACCGUACAGCAGACUGUAAACAAAUGAUCCAUAUUAUUCAAAAAUGCAUAAACAUCUUUGUUGAUUGCUUAUCCAUUUCCGAGCAUAAACAGUUGGUUUGAAUAUAAUUGGAGACCCUUUCUGCAAGGUUGAAGUCAACUGUAGAACUGAAGCCAAAAUUUGUCUGAAAGCAGGAAUCAUUAAAACCAUCAUGAGCUCCAAAAAAGAGCACAAGUAAGAAUAUCAAAGCCAGAAAACAACCAAAAGAGGUGUUAAGUUUGGAGGUGAUUUAUCACACUGCUCAAUAUAGACGUAAAACUGCUCCACUCUUUUUUCGGCUGCAGUAAAAGGCUCUUUAGCCUUCCUGCUUGACCAAUCAUUGAGUCAUUGGUAUUGAUCAACAACUGCCAUCAACCGCCAUCAGGUCAUUUUGCUCUCAGAGGAAAUAAAAGUCUUACCUUUUAGAUAGAGGUUUAUCACGGCAGGAAACUUCUUACACCAUCACUGCACAGCUAGAUUACAUUAUGUUUUGCCCAUUUUCUCAAUUGUAUUCUGUUCAGUACAGGGGAAAGGGUCAGGUUAUUUCUGCAUCGUCUCAGCCUGGUGCUCUUCUGUCUUUUAGUGCACUUCAAUGGAAGACAUGCUGGGAUUCUAUGGUGGACCACAGGAGUAAAUGUGCUCAGAAACACAAGUCCAAAACAAAGACAGCAACAGACACGCAAUGCAGGAUGACAAUCAGCAAAUGUGCCGAUGCACAAUCCAAAAACAUACAAACCAAGAAAACAGAACGAACUCAAAAGUCUGCAGUCAUCACAUUUUUCUAACGUAGCACUCCAUAUUUUCCCCAUUUUACUCUAAUAUCUUUCAUCCUCCUGCUAUCCUCACGCAAUCCACAUCCCAUCAUCUCUAGCUCUCUCUUUCAUCAUUUAUGAUGGGCUUCACUCUGCUCUCGCCAUCAGGGGGGCAUGAUCUGGUGCUGAAAGGGUGAAAGACUCAAUAUCUCAUUUUAUAUGUCAUCAUGUUUCUCCAGCUGCUGAACAGACACAGAGCAUGACCAUUCCCCUGAGAGGGUCUUGAAAAUGAGAUUAAGUAAUGUCUCGUUGAAAUGGCCACAAAUUACUUUCACAUUAUAGGGCUUGACUUAACUUUUUAUUUGGUAGCACUAAAUGAUUUAGUGUGAAAGCAGCGUUACCUGCAACCACUGUCCCACAGGCUUUACACCGCCAUCAUCAAUUCAGGAAUGUUUUUUUUUCCCACAACAUUUAACAACCACAUGAAAUAAAUCUGUUUGUCUGUUUAAAACCCGCAUUGAUGCUGAUUGGUUAUGUAGGCGUUUAGUUUUAACAGAACGUUGCUUGAUUAGUAAUCCCUGUUAAGUAACACAUGCCAGUGUUGACUUGUGUCCAAACAGCACACUUCUGUCCAGGCAUGACUUAUCAACAACUGAUCACCAUAUCAGCACUAUUCCUAAUUUAUGUUACACCAGAGAGGUUAUUCACUCUCACACAAAUACUUCCACAUCUAUCUUCAGCUCACACAGAUCAAAUUUUGGUAACAUGCAACCAAAAUAAAGCAUAGCGUUAGUUCUGUCAGGACACAAUGUCAAGCGCUGAUCUGCAGCCAAUGGCUAGUAGCCACCUCAACCAGAUGAUAAUCAGCUGAUUCACUCCUAGCUCCUAUUGGUCCUUUGCCUAUAGAGCGCCUUAUUUAAAAGUGCACUAACCCAGCCUCUUCCUCUGCUCCGACAGCUAACCAGCAACCCACCGCCACCCCAGCUCCACCCUUGUGCCAGCUAAUUGCUCCGCUACCCUUGAAGCGCUCCUGUUCCUGGGGGGUUCUGUUCAUCGCUGCUCUACCCCCGCCGCCUCCGCCUUCAUGAUGGCUCGUGGAGGGCAGGAAGGGGCUCUUCCUGCCGCUGGCCUUUCACCCAUGCCAACGUGGAGAACGGGGGCCCCGAACAGAACCUCGCGUGCGCUCCCUGCUAUCGCCUUUCAUGAUGGCUCGUGAUGGGCAGGAAGGGGCUCUUCCUGCCUCGGGCUUCCAUGCAAGCGUGUGGAAGGGCAGGGACCCGGAACAGAAUCAUGCCGCCAAAUUUAACUUGCACAAUAAAGCAAAAAUUUUGACAAAGUGUACCUGACUGAAAUGGUCACAGUUUCAAAUCCUGCAUUACUAAAAUAGUAUGUGGUGGCCAGCAGGGGCAACAGAUUUGAAUUUGAUCAGAAAACUGUAAAAAUGUACAAAUAAUGCAAUAUAUUCAUAUAUUCCUUAAUUACGGAAGAUGAGAAUGGUCAUAGAUUUUUUUUAUGUACCAUUAUCUUAUGAUAACGACUUAUCUCGUUAUCUUUAUAUAACAAAGUUCGUUUUCUCGUGAUAAUGAUUUUCUUUUUCUUUAUCCCGGCAUAACAAAGAUUGUUUCCAAUGAAAAUGUUGAUGUCUUGGUCCAUGCAUACGCAAUACACUUUCAACGUGGUAAUUUUUAACUGCCAUGCACGAAUCGACAAAAACAGUAACAAUAGUGGACACAUUAUUUAUUAAUUUGUUAUCACGAGAAAACAACCUUUGUUAUAUCAAGAUAACAAAAAAUUAGUCCAAACAAACUUUAUGUCGAGAUACCGAGAUAAGUCAUCAUCACGAGUUAACAGUGCAUACAAAAAGAAAAUUCCAUGGCUGUUUGCAUCUUCUGUAUUUAAUAGUUUUACUCAAAGUUAAAUUUCUUUCCCCUAAGAGUAUUGAGUGAAAACAUUUUGGUGAAAGAAGUAAAUUUAACCUCAGGAUGUGGACUAUUUGAUGGAAAGAUGUUCCAGAGAGGUGAAGUCUGCUCAUGAAUAAAUGUAUUUUUCUCUAAAAAUCAAGCUUACUAGGCCCACAAACCCCUGACAAAUGCUACCCCCCGCCUCUUUCCCUUCAAAGCAGUAAUCACUCAAUUUAUCUUCUGAUUUUCUAAAAAAAAAAAAAAAGUCUUCUUGGAAAUCAGAGGAUGUUUCCACUGAAAUGAAAGGUGGAUGUGGUAGACCUAUGGCAUCUGUUAUUUUAAAGCUCGACACAUGGAGAUGGUGAUAACAUACAUGAAAUAUCACUAUCAUUAUUAGCCACCCUGAGUGCCUGACAGACGGCACCUGUCACAAAAUGGCCAGUGUUGUCUUAUCUGGGGAGCAGCAGAUUGAAAUGUUAAUGAGGCCUUUUGAUCAACAGCAGCCCUGUCUGUCAAGCUGCCUUUAAACUGAUCGUUUGUUUGUAGAGAGGAUGCAAAAACAAGCCACAAGUCCCAUGACCCCAUGGUCGAAUUAAGAGAUACAAAUAGUUUUGUCUUUUGCAAGUUGGUCGGUUCCUCCUUCUUCACCACCUGCUGUGUCUGGGUAUUGAUUUAGACCAACAGGAAAAAGGCAGGGGAGGACGGUCUUUGAUGGGGAAAGAGAAUUUGUUAAGGAAACUCCCAAAUGGGGAUGAGUUUCAAAGCUCAAAGUCUGGCAAACAUCAGCAGAGAGCGACAGUGAAAAAGCCUGAAAAAGAAGCAAGAACAGAGAUGAACUACCAAGAGAGAAAAGAGAAGGACUGAGACAGAGGAACUGAACAUAUUCAGGAACAGAGAACACAUCUUUGAUGUUUCUGAAUGUCCACGAAACAAUGAAGAAUAUAACUUCAUUAUAGCAGACAAUACGGGCAGAGAUGAAUGCCUCACCAUGUGGCAAUCAUCAUCACUUAAACCAUCAUUGAGCAUCCGCUGCAUGGUGUUAAUGUGAGCGCUGAUUGCAAAUUGAUCCCCAGAGAGUGAUCUGUCUCUCAGUUUUACACAAAUCCUUUUGAAGUUACUCUAUAAUGCCAUACACCAUGAUGCCAAUCUAGAUACGUCAGUCAAAUUCUCCAUUUCAUAUUUUAAAUAGCAGUUUUGUUGUAUCCGCACAGUGUGACCAUCCUGACAGGUCCUGAGAUUACCAAUGAUGCCCAGUCGAAAUGACACGUCCAUUUCCUGCAGAAAAUGAUCUCUCAUUUUCUCCUCUCCCAUCAGUUGCAAACAUAGAGUUAACAGAAAUGUGUGAGGUUUGGUGAUGGAGGAACUGCACCGUUUUGCUGUUUGUACACAGAUGUUCAAAGAAAAGUCCAAUUGAAAUGGCCUUGCAUAUUUUCUUUGAACAGAAGAUAUUGUUGCGGCUGAAAAAACAUAUUGAAAUUGAAAUUCCUUUUUUGUAAGAAAAUCAGCAUAUUUACACAGAUUGUUUGUGUGUGUGUGUGUGUGUGUGUGUGUGUGUGUGUGUGUGUGUGUGUGUGUGUGUGUGUGUGUGUGUGUGUGUGUGUGUCAGGAACUCAGGAACUAAUCCUGUAUAUGACUGGACCAAUCAGCCUAAGAAUUUGUGUACAUAUUUAUUCCUGUAAGCUAAAACACAUCUUAUGGUUGCACCGAUAAACAGCUUGAAACACCUAUUUUUCUUUUCAUUUAUUUAUUUCGCUAUUUAUUUGUUUAUUUAUUUAUUUAUAUUCUGGAUAAGAGAUGACACUUUGUAUGUUUAACAUGCUUCCAUGGUCAAAACUGAGCAAAAACUCCUCAUGACUGGAAUCUUGUUUGUGGUCAAUAUCAUUGUUUUGCUUUUUUAAUCAGAUUUGCUCAACAAGGUCAAUGUUGUGCUCCUUUGUAGACCAUCUUCUCGACCAGUUCUUCUUUUGAGCACUCUGUACUGUGACUGCAGGUACUAAUGCAUUAAACAUACCAGUUGGGAUGUGGGCAUGUGCAGAGGUCACUUCCUCGAUAAGAGAUAUUAUGCAUGUGACCUAAAACAUGACACUUUUUGGUGCAACAGCAAAUCCGCAGUGUCUCCUCUACAGUGUUUGACAUGACGGACUGAUUACAUAUAAUCUCCACCUACUCGCCUGGUGUGCUUACAUGACCAUUUUAAACUGCUUCCAUGUUAUCACGCGAACACAAGUACAAAAUUACCCACCAGGUGUGAACUAUGCUGAAGUCUACACCGUAUAAGUAGAAAAUACCUGAAAUAGAAAUAACAUAAGAGUCUUUACACCGUAAUUCAGUGAUGCUCAUAUUAUUGUUAACAGGUGGAAGCUUGAAUGAUUUGUACAGCCUGUUUUCUCCUUGAUCAAACAGUCCUCUUAGAAAUCUCUAGCAAAACAACUCUUUAUAAACUGAUAAGGUUUUACUUUCACCUCAAGGAAGAAAAAUAUUUUGUUCUCUGGCCUGUAAAGCAGCUUUUAUAAUGCUGCAGGAUUUUCUCUGCCUCUGACAGCGACAGUAUCUUAUCAUUAAUUGAAGGACGGCUCACCAGUGUGCGGACUCAGAAAUUCUUUCUGCCCUUGGUUUGAGAAACCCUGUCAAAAAACAGAGAAUGUACUCAAUGUCAGGGACCUGGCUGCAAGACACACUGAAUCUGAAUUUUACUGAACCAUCGCAGUAAGAAAGUAUUGCGUUGUCUUCACUUUUCCCAAUAUACUCUCUGUUCAAACCUCAUUUUACUGCAGUCUAAUUUUUUUUUUUUUUUUUGACAAAUCUAGGUUUGAUACAUGAACCAAAGGUCAUUAGGUUUUAGAAUACUUUACAAAUUUAGAUAAAGUAAGAAUGAUAGUUUGACAUGAAACUUGAAUAUAAGCAUUCAGACCCACAACCAAGUCUCAAACUGAGAAACAAUCAGAGCCUUCAGUCCUCCUGGGUUUGCUGUGACAACUUAAGCAUGUCUGGAUUUGAGGCUUUUCAGCUUGUCUUCUGCAGAUCCUCCUAAAAUCAGUCAGGCUUGAUGUGAACAUUCGAUGAAAAACCACAUUCAGGUUUUUUCCAGGAAUGUCUUGAUUGGGUUCAAGUGAGAACCCUGACAGGGUUACUCAAGGACAAUUACAGAGCAACCCCAGCAUCAUCUGUGUGCUGAGGUCUGUUGUCCUGUUGAGCAAAAUCGAGCAGUUUGGUCAAGGUUCUCAUCUUUGUUCCUGGCAGAUUUCCCUCAACUCUUAUUGCUCCCUUUGGCUGAAAAAUGUACCUGGAGUGAUUCUGCUUCUACCAUGCUUCAUCUUUGGGAUGAUUUUGUGCACAUGAUGAGUUGAGCCUGGUCACCAGGCAAAGAGUUCAGUCCGGGAUUCACUGGUCCAUUGGUAAGUUUCGUGAAGUUACUUUACUUUUGAUUUUAGAGUGCAGCCUUGAUUUUGCUCAGAACUUAGUCUGUCUAAAUUUGAUCAUUUCAAAAGACCGUCUGAUUAAAGAUUUCUGACUCUCAGUCUUACUCAAACUUAGUUAUUUGUAAUGGUAACAUCUGUUUGCCGCACUUGACCCCUUAUUCAUUAAUCUCCAAUUCAGUGUUUGUACUCCCAAUUAAAGGGGUGUCUACCUAUUUUAUGAGAACCAUCAUAUUUUUUUAUUCAUUCCGCUGAAAUAAUCUUUUUCUGUUGGUACACUUGGUAAAUUUAAAAGUAAAACGUCCUUGUAAGAGAAGGAAAACAACAUUUCUCCUGUGGUGAACAGCUAAAAGCAAAAAAACUUUCUUUCACUUUGUAAAAAGUAAAACUGCACUUGAAUUCUUUCUUUACCAAGAAUUUGUUAGAUUCAAGUCCUCUUUUCAGAUGGUCAAGACCUUGACGUUUUCGUGAGUCAAACAGUAUUUUUUUUUUCUUAGAUGCAGUCAACUUUCUUUGUGAAAAAGGCCUCAGAGCGUCUUGUUUUUUACACCCUGGAAGUCCUUCAGUUUCUUCUUCAAAAACUUCACACUGGCGUUUGUGAAAAAAGUUUUCUAGCUGACUUCUUUGAAAUAAAGCCCAGGUUUUUGAAGUGUUGCAUUGAUGGUUUUCCUUCUUGGUCACCUCUCUUCUUCCUGGAUUGUUAGUUAGAUCAGGCUGCAACAUCGAGAAAGAGUCUUAUCUGUUUCCGACCUCAGUAUAUCAGAAGUUUGUGCUCAUGGGAACCUUUUGUUUUUAAGCUUUCACUAGAUCUGAUCCCCACACAACCCUGUAUCUAACCCCCGGAAGCAGUUUCCCUUACUUUAUUUUCGGUUUCUGCACAAAAGCUGGACGUGUGUUGUGGUGGUUACAUUUCUACAUCAUGACUUGUUAGUUGCCUUUUCCAUAAUAAAAAAAAAAAAUUCCCAAAUUAUUUUGGGUUUUUGGUGCAGAUUUUUGGAUGAAAAUGUAAAUUUCAAUAGUUUAAUUCAAGAUUCAUUGUGAGAAAUUGUGAAGAAUGAAGGGGUCUAAAAAUGAGGGAUGUGUAAUGUUUCAAUCUGAUAAACUGCAGACCGAUACUAAAAAUAUUUCUUCAUAAUUAUAAUGCAUGUUAUACAUUUAUCUCAACAAAAACAGCUGAUAAAAGUUGCUGUUAUAAACUCACUGACAAGCCUACAGAUUCUGACACAGAGAGUAGUGGUAUGUGAUUUGCCAUGAAACACAAGGAGGAACAAGCGCAGCUGCAACAAGCUGACAGGAGAGUACAAAUGGCUUCAGGGGUGGAUGCUUUUCACUGUUUUACUGGAGAAUACAGUGACUGCAACUUGUUAGCACAUGUGCCCUAACAUUCAGAGAGGAAAAAAUGCCCUUAAGUUUGAUCACAAGGACUCUUUGCUCUAUUAUUGUGAUCUGUAUUUUAAUAGUAAUUUAUACUGCUACAAUGCUGGGUGUCCAUAUACCAGACCUGCAGUGAGUAUUUAAGUCCCACUCCGAUAGUUUUUUUUACUACUUAAAGUGUUCUCAGUGGUCUUUAAAUUGUGAUUAUGGAGGUUUUACAAAAAUCACAUUACCUGUGUCAUUUUCAAGGGCUUUUCUUCUGCAGAGCUCCAGUAGAUCAUUAGCAAUUUGCCUCUGAGUUGUAGGCGGAGACAACGCUGUUCUGCACAGUCGUCUUUAUGCUAGCUUGCAGCCUAACAUUGCCUGUGCAGCAGAAGUGGCAGAUAACAUAGGAGCUAUUCAGCUGUCGGACACUAAUGUAUUUAGGGACAUGAUGAAAGCUAAUAUCAUAGUUAGCUUUACAAGAAUUUCAUUCUGCUAACGCACAGAUAGUCCUCUCUACUUCUACUUCUACUUCUCCGAGUGUGACCUGCAAAGCGGGGCUCCAGGGGUGGAGCUUGAAUUGGUUACGUAUGAAUUCUCACUGUUUUUGAACGUGCUGUUUGGGUCUGCCAGAGAUUCACAGCGAUAUGAAUGAAGAAAUUUCACAUUUAGUCUUUUUUCAUGAUAUGUCCUGUAGCAUCAUAAAACAUGUAAAAAACAAGAAAAACAUGAUUUUCAUCAGAGUGGGUCUUUGACGGUUCACUGGCUGGAUAAAGACAAGCAGGUUAAUAUCAGUGGCUGGUAUCAGCUCAGAAAAACCCAUACCCUGCAGCUCUGCUUGAAGCCACCUGAAUUUGCUUUAUACAUAUCUUCUACUCUAGCUCUCUGUGGAUAAGUAUAAUCAUUUCAGCUUGGAAAUGAAACAGCACAUACCACAUAAGUCUUUCCUCAGUCACUAGUACAAAGACCUAAUCAUCAGCCCAGAGGAAUAAUAACCUUCAUUAUUUCCUUUCAACUGUAUUUCAUCUGUAAGUUCAGACCUCUUCGGUGCUGAUAAGACCAGGUCACCGGAUACAUAACUGCUUCAAGUCUACAUGUCUAACGUCACUCAAUCAUUGUUCCAACAUGAGAUAUACAAUGUCUCAUUUAUCUCACUGUGCUCUCCUCAUUAACCACUCUGCUCUCUGAGACCAUCUCUGGGGGCCUAAUAGCUGCAAUUAGCAAAAGAGCCGCUCAGUAGCAUGGGUAUCGUGACACACAUGACCCCCCCUCCUCCUCACCACACACACACACACACACACACACACACACAUACAUAUAUAGUGAGGCUGAAAACCUGUCAGAGGGAAUUGUAUCCCUGGUGUGUAGAGUGAGAGUUAGAUGGAAGGCGAGCCAGAGCCAGCAGGCAAAGGCAGAGUGUCUGUGCAUUUGCUAAUAAUGUUGGGCUGUGGGUGCCAGGCCUGAUUUCAUUUACUGUCAGGAUGAGGACCACUGGGCCCGGAUUAGCACUGGAGGUAGAGAAAAGAAGAGGGGAAAAAAAAAGUCACAAUAAAUUAGGGGUUAUUUUUCACAAAAAAAGCUGCUUUUAAUUUCACUAAAAGUACCUCCAUUAGCUGUAUUUAAAGUGCUUAUCCAGUGAAGUAUUAACUCAGCCUAAGUGGAUAAACAAUUGACUUUGUAAAGGCCGCUGGCACAGAUUUUCCUUAAUUUUAGUCUCAUUACUUAAGCCUCAUUUCAAAAAGUGUCUCUAAUUUACAAGAAAGAAAAUUGACAGGUCUUUGUGAAGUGGUGGAUGUCAUAUUAACCUGAUUAUCCAUUGCUCCUAGUCAUUCGUUUUUACUGAAACUUUUAUGAAUGAUCAAUUGGUUGAGCAGUCAUCAUAUUGAUCUUUCCAGACAUAUGUCAUUUAUUUAUUUAUUUUUAAUUUCUGCAUGUAUUCUCUAAUUUAAAUAAUGGUUCAUUAAUUGACUUAAUUUCAUAAUUUGUUUUUUUUCUUUGCAUAAUCCUCCUUCAGGAAAAAAACAAAAAAAAAAUUAAUAGACAAAAGAAAAACUGGAUCUAAGGAAAAUGUGCCACUUGGCUGUUUUGAUUUGACAUGGAUGAGAGGAUGACAGUUUAUCAUAGUUAGAUAGUUUGAGCUUAUUAUAAGAAAGUCUGAGCCGAGUGUAUUUAGUACAGAGAAAACUCUCAGCUCUGUAAUUUGCAGUCACAUAACCAUAAAUCAGUUUGGUGCUGUUUCGUGGACACAGCAUGAGUGAGACUCGGUAACAACAGUAUUUCAGACUCUUCCUGAAUCAGAACUUACAAGCAGCGUCUCCUGUGGGUAUUACACCUAUUAUAGACAAGAACCUCAGACAGCACCACAGGCUGUCCCUUUAGAGGCGACAACCACUGUGUUUACAUGUUGAUCGAAAAAUAGAUUUACUGCAUUAGUCUGAAUAAAACUGAAUUUUCAAAAUAUAUGUGGACCAUGAAUCCUACUGAACUCCUUAUAGCUGCACUGACAUAGCUAUAUAAUGUGGUUGGGGAUCAAGACAGCUCAGUUCCACAUAAACUGGUCUGAGCAUCCUAAAUGCGUUGCUUGGAAGCUAAGAAAGGAUGUAUAAAUUGGUAAAGCUGUGUUAAGUACAAAAGGUACAGAGCUGUUAAAGUUACGGUAUCGUCAUUGUUUGAUUUAAUCCUGUUAUCCACUUGCUAACAUGAUUGUUGUGGUACGUAAUAGGUCAAUCAGGGGUGACAAAGUGAAAGGGGAAUGUUGCCUCUGACAGUUUGGUGGAGAUAGACAUGCUUUUUGUCAAUAAUAAAAUGAAUCAGUGCUUAUACAUUGGAACAGUAGUCCAGUCGAAUCACCAAAUCACACUGAAACUGCAACUUGGCUUACCUGUGCAAGUUGGAAAAUUUGAAACAAAAGCAAAAUGCAUGUAUUUUUUAACCCAAGUUUAUUUUGGGAUCUCAUUUGUGUCCCUACCAACUGACAGUGACUGUAACUGCUCUGAACAUGUGUCACCCACAUUGUUACAUUUGUUCAUUUAACUUCUCACAUAACGUAAAUGUGCACUUAGGGUGUUUUCACAACUAAAAGUUCAAACCAAGGUCUGUGUUUUUGUUACAUUUGGUUUGUUCUGUUUAGGUUUCACACUGUCAUUAUUGCAACCGGACUAACAGACUUUACAUAAGGCACCUGCGUGAUAUUGACAUCAACUAUGUGCUUUUUGUAUGUCUCUGUAGUUUAAAUCGAUUGGUUGUAAGGCCGGCGGUCGUCUGACAUCAACACAUUAAAAAGCUUGGGUCUUGAAUGGUGUAAAGAUGGAUGAAAACGUCAUUCCCUCCAUCGCACUAUUUUUGAUUUCCUACCACCAACAGCGACAACUUCAAGAGCUGUACAUGAGGCUGGUCCGAGGAAGUCUCAUGAAUUUGAUCAUAAGACGACAACUUGAUCGACAUCGACAGAAAAGGAGAAGAAAGUAUCCACUGCAACAACGACUUGGGAGAGAAAGUAUCGCAUCAUUUCCUGUCUUUGGUACGAGUAUCUGAACCUUUCAGAAUAACGCUUUUCACACUGGGUGUGAACCAAACCAUGGUUCAGUUUGGUCUAGACCGAGAUCACCUCUUUUGGUUGGACCAUUUUGGUUCAGAUCUAACAGAAAAGUCUGAAAGUCAAGACCAAACGACGCAGGUUUUAAAGCCCCCUUAAACAGAAGCAGCACAUCAACAAGAGUUAAAAACUACUGUCAAAUGUAUUCAAUUUGUGAAGUCUUCCCAAACAAAGAAAAAAAAAUGCAUCUUGGUCCUGAAUAGAAUCUGUAUUUGUCUGAGCCGGAGCUGCAGCUUUCUCUACGAGGGCAGCUGUCAAGGACUCUCAUAUGAGAGAAGAAUGGGAGGAUGGAGGAGCGAGGAAAGGACGAUAAGGGAGAAAUGAAGGAGGAAAGACGGAGGAUGAGUGGCUUAUGUCCAAUUUCUUUCUUCGUGAGACCAUUGCCAGUCUGUAUUGAGCGCUUGAAAAAGAGAGCUGAAAUGUGGAGAUGCAGAGAAAGAUGGAGAGCGCGGAAAAAGGGAAAAUAAAAAUAAAGAAGGGUGACGAGGACUGUGACAGAGAGGGAGUUAAUUGCUUCAACAACCUCAGCAGCCAGGUUUAAAAACAGGAGCUAUAGGAGGAAAGUGAGAGGCUGAUGGGGACAGAACAAGGCCUAGUAAUCUUUCCAAGAAACUCCUAUUAUCUGGCAUGCUGUCUACGAACCGAGAGCUCGAUCCCAGGGGUGCAGCACGUACUUGAAUUGAAGCACACAUGAACGCGGAGGAAAAUCCACAACUACACACAGGAGGAGGCAAAGGAGAAAGACUGAUAUACUGACAAGGAGGGUGCAUCACAUCAUGCAACCAAGCAGGCAGACAGGUAGAGGCGGGAGGUAGACAGGCAGGAGGGCAGGUCGGCUAUGCUCAGGCACCCAAUGUCCCCGAGCAGCUAGAGAUAUUGCUGCUCCACUGAACAGCAUAAUGACAGUCUCUUCUACUUCACAUGGGCCGGCCGAUGUGAAAAUCUACUCAUAGUCGUUCUUUGCUUCAAUUUCAUCGAGAGAAUACCAGGCAAAAGGGGCCCAAAAGAGCAAAUAUGAGAGUAAAUGACUGCAGGGUCAGAGGAGGGGGUUUUAUUUGGCUAAAUAAACUCACUUUGGAUGGUGUCUACAUGAGGGUAAAUGAGCAGAAAUUUCCAGUUCCUGUAUUUGAGCAGUGAUGCUAGCUGCAGUGGAGAUAAAGUAAAUCUGUGUUUGAGGGAUUGUAGUGUGCAGAUCUAUCUUCAGAUGAGCUCUGGAGCAGCGCACACUCUACAGGGAGCUUAAAACGGAGGCAAAGUCCUCUGGCGGGGUCCUAACACACACACACACACACACAUAGAGAAAACACAGACCUGUCCUUGACUAAGACAAAUGAACACUUCUUGCUAGGCGUUGCUAUGGCUACUUUGUCAAAACCAGCUCAAAGGUUUGAAUUAUAGCCCCUGAUUCUUGCUGCAGUCUGUCUUCCAUUCACGCACACACUUACGUGUAGUCCCCCCGCGAGUCAGUCACUCCUCCUUUUCGUUAGCCGGAUGAUUCACAAGGAAAUUAUAUCAGCUGGCGCAAUGAUGCAGACUCCAAAGUGUGAUGGCGUGUUUUAUUUGGUCUGAUAGGAUGGCAAUUAGCCACGUAAUGGAUGGGCAGCCUAUCAUACAAGGCUAAUUAAACACGCAUUCACGCUACAGUAAGAGGGUAUUUAGUUCACAAAGCCAUCCAACCUAUUUGGAGAUGUGGUUCAAGGUGCUUUCUCACUUUUUCUUCUUCCUUUUUGAAAUCACUUUCACUCUUUCCUUCCACACCCCAACUGUGUUUCAUUUGAGAUAUUUGCUUUUUCCCGCAUGGUAAUAUCUGUGUUUACCUGCGUGUGUAUUUGCAUAUAAGGUGUGUUUCUUUGAAGAAAAGUUUGUUCUUUUGAAAUAACCGAAGAACUGUGAAAUGAAUCAAUUAGGCCGUAACCACAGAUAGGUGAAUGUUACUUUUUCUUUGCUUUGUUUGAGUAAAAAAAAAAGAAGAAAUUCUGCGCACAUAGCCUGAAGGCCUUUAUUUUUUCAUUUUCAAGAUUGCAUAGCGGCUAUUGUGGGUUUUUAAAUUACAGUAGUUGCAGGAUGGUGUGUUUUUUGUGCAGCACGGACUCAAACUUUUAAUGCACUAUUCAUUAAUGUGCUUCUUCAGCAGAUAGUGCGGCGAAGAUAACCUCAGUCACUCACAGCUAUGCCUCCUCCUUUUGGGAGGGAACUGAAAAAGACAAGAAAGCAAUUAUAUCUCUACCACCACACUCAUUUUCAGGUGCUCUCUCUCUCUCUCUCUCUCUCUCUCUCUCUCUCUCUCUCUCUCUCUCUCUCUCUCUCUCUCUCUCUCUCUCUCUCUCUCUCUCUCUCUCUCUCUCUCUCUCUCUCUCUCUCUCUCUCUCUCUCUCUCUCCUCCCAGGCUGAUGACAAAUGGAGGAAGAUGGGUAGGGCUGCAGGUGCUGAUGGUGUGAUGGUGUGUGUGUGUGUGUGUAUGUGUGUGCGGGGGGAGGGAUAUCAUGCUUCAUUUCAGCUCAUGUUAUGGUGGGGGAGCAGCGCUGACCACAGGCAAUGACAGUUUUUAAGGCUUUUAGCCGCAACUCUUCACUUCUAAAAUCAGACCUAAUAGCUACAUUUUAGAGCGGUGCGGCCAUACGCCGCUUCCUGAGUGAGAUCUUUUUCUGGUUGAGUUGUUCACCUUUCUUACACUGCAACUGACCGUGAAACUGAGUGUCUCUGUCACAAAUAGACCAGUUAAAGGAUCUGUUUGCUCAAAAUACACAAUAACUCUUUUAUAAGUGUUGUUUUGACCUGCAGAAUCAGCUAUCUUCAGCAAUCUAUGGCAUAACCCAAUAUCUAUGUUUUUCCAUUCCAGCUCACUAUAAAAUCCAUCGUCAACAACAAUCUAAAUUUUAUUCUAUUAUGUAUGAGAGACUGAAUCUGAAUUUUCAAACUGGUACAAUUUUCUACUUACAGUAUAUCGUUAAAAAAAAUUUAACUCAGUGUGUUUUUAAGACAGACUCAACAUUACUUCAAAAAGUGCGAGCACCAGGUAGCAGAGACACUUGAAAACUUUCUUGUAACAGGCAGAAACUUUAAGCUGAACCAGACUAAUUAGUGGAGAGCCAUCCAUCAUGACUUGAAAGUGUGAAAGGGACCAAAUGAGAGAUAGAUGGAGACCAUGGACUGCAUAACACAUGGACUUAGCUUUGGUCAUGUCACUGACUUAUUUCUAAAACCUAUCAACAGCGGUCACCAUAUUGGGAAUGUUAACUAGCUUUCAUAACUAUUGGUCAACCAAUCAGGAGGCAAAGAGGCGAAGUUGAAACAGGCCUUUAACCUUCUGGCUUACAGCUACAGUGUGCCGCCUGUCUGUCAAGUCAGCUGUCCUUCUAAUUUGCCAAACUCUUAUCCUUAACAUCCUAAAAAAUGAAUUCCAUCUAAAACGAUUAACUCUGCAUAUGUGGGUUAAAAGUAUUUUUUUUUUAAAGCAGGCUUUAAACAUAUUCUUGUUUUCCUUCAAAGAUGGGCUUUUUUGAAUGUAUGUGGCUCCUGGUGCUUCUGCAACCAGCCUCAAGAAGGCAACCAUGGAACUGCAGUUUUUAGCUCAAGUCCAGAGGUUGCUACUUGAUUACGACUGAUCAAACAAACAGAGAGAUAUAUUAAAACAUUGGCAAAAGUCUGCUUCUACAUAUCACCAUGUCAAGAUGUCUGGUUUAUGCUCGCCAAAAUUAACGGUUUAGAGAUUCAGAUAGUAGCCACUUUAGCUAUUUAGCUUCCGUAUUAGCUUACUAAAGUUAGCUUAAUGUGAUGAAAUCAGCUUGUUACAGAGGUGACGCUCUGCUAGCUCCAUUUUUGACUUUCUUUGUCUAAGCUAAAAAUCUACCCACUGAAUGUAUGCAUUAUUUGAACAGGUGAAUACAAUAGUACACAAAGCAUCAACACAAAGAAGAAAUAAACUAGAUAACAGUUGUAACAGAAGCUGAUUGUGUUCCUAUCUGCUGUGACUGUGCAGCGAUACUCUCCUGCUUUUAGCCAAGAAAGAAAGAGAUGGUUGGAAGACUGACUUUCUUCUUGAAAGGAUUUAGGAAAGCUGAAACAAUGACUAAAUUAAAGCAGUAGUCUUUUCGUCCCCCUCUCUAGCCCCUUCUUUCUCAUCGCUCUCUCUGCCUCUAUCAUCUUUCAAUCUCUGUCGUUCUGUUUUUCUGAUUGAUACACCCAUUUCAUGAAGAUUUCACGCUCGAGGAAUCCCAAAUGGGUCUCCUCUCAUGACAAACAGAUCAAUUUUUAUAGACCUGAAAGUUGCUGGUCUUGAAAAUUGUUUGACUAUCUUGGAUACACAGCAGAGUUUUGUUGCUGUAUGCUCUCCCUUUUCCUCUCUCUUGGCUCAUUCUGAGUCAUGGGUUUCAUAUACUGUUGUCAUGUCAGUGUUAUAAACCAUUUGUGAAGCUGCUAAUAUCCACUGCUGCAAAAAUAUAUUCUGCACAACCUUUCACUCUGAAAUAAUUAUACAAGCGUGAGCAAAGAAAUAUGUCAAAGAGGGGCAAAAUGUAGCGCUGACACAACGGCCUGCUGGUGUGCUUUAUGGUCUGCAGGCCUGUAAUGUAAACAGCAGGUGGCUGAGCUUCUGCACUGAGGCUGCAGGAAAAGAUGCUUCUAAGAGAUCCACCUGCCUCUUUGAGAUAUUACUGGCAGCCUGGAGUCACACUUGAGCCAGUUAACAUAUGCACACAGUCAGAGUCAGACCCUUAUAUACCAUCUAGAAACACAAGAAGAAAUGCAAGAAAGCAAACGAGCUAAAUUUGAAUCCCUGAACGGCCGAAAUCUGUGCUACAACUUCAUUCAGCCUCUUGCAUGUGUGUCUGCAAGCACACACACAUGAGCGGUAAUUAAAAUGCAAGCGUCUCCACCUGCAGUGAUAUUCUUCUGAGCAGAUUUUCACCAGGCACAGCCGCCGUGUCUCUGAAAGGGCUUUGAUCACAGCGGGAUCCUGUGGUGCCAAGGUGAGCAGCACAUUAACAUCUCAUUCACAGAGUACACAGCAAGGUGAGCCGGCCUGCCUCGCUGCUCCUGUCUGCAUGUGUAUGUGAGUGUGUGAUGGUCCUCACUUUGCAUACCUUACAUCAUGUCUUCCCUCCCAUUCCUGAGUGAAAACAUGUGACUCCAGCAACCCUGAAGCGCACACAUUUGAGGGUGCAUCUUUGUGUAUAAUUGAACAAGCUUGUGCAACUCGAGGCACUUGAAGGUUCCUCUUCCGGCAAGCCAUGGAGAACAGGAUGCUGCUCUUUCAUGUUUUCUAAGUUCUAUAACUUUACAGACUAUUUAUAGAGGAUUUAGUAUCAGCUUUGUUCACAAAUGUGAGAUUGCCAGCAUAUACAGUAAUUUUGCAUUCACUGAUUGCAAUAACCGCUAUUUCUGUUAUCUUACAUUGUCUUAGGAUUCUAUGCUAAAAUUCUAGAGACAUGUAAAGGUUAACGAAUAGUAAGGAAUGAGGGUAGGUACAAAUAAGCUAAAUAGCUUCUACGUACUCCUUUUCGAUCUCCAAAAAAUAGGGAAUUUCUCGUCUAAAACUGUGCUGUAUGUAUAUUUGAUCGAAUAAACCAUAUCUCUCUUACAUUGUCUUUAGGAUCCCAAGCUAGUAAACCCAGUGUUUCAGCUAACUUUAUCAUCCAGUGUUAAAUAUUUAAUUCUGAUUGGUCUCAACCCCUCAACAACACCUUGACAAUAGCCAGUAAAUCUGCAUAACGUGAACAACGCCAAAAAGCAGGCAUAUCACACAUGUCAUGUCCAAUCCAUCCCUGGAAAGUAGUUCCGGCAGAUUUAACCUCUGCUCUUUGGAGCCAUAGGCAAAGAAAUUAGCAUCCGUUAGCAUGCUAGAUGGGUAAGCUACAAAUAUGGAUGUUUUGGUAACAGAUCUUCUCCUGCAAUCCAGGCAAGGGGAGUAGAGGCUGUGAGUGCAUCUUAAGUUUUUAAUUGCGACAAGGAUAAAUGACUUUGAAGACUGUUCCCGCUGCACGGAGGAUUAGAACCUGUGGAUAUGGUGGUGCCACCAACUGUGGAUUUAGGGGAACAUACAGCGUUUUUAAAUCAAUAAAGCAUCAUUAAAUCAAUAUUUAGCGUCAACAUGUUAAUGACUUAAAUGGAUUGCUGGGCAAUAAUCAGGAUAAUGCAUGCUAAACCAGUAGUUAUGGAAAUUAGAAUCCCUUCAGAGUGAGACUAGACCUCAUUUUGUCAGGAUUAUAUUUUUUCGUAACCACCGGUUCACCAUGCAUUACCCGUUAUGUAAGUUUUUUUCCUUUUGGAAACCAAGAAAACAAAAAAGAAAUCAAAAGAGCUCAAUGAUAGGUCCAUAUGCAGCAUGUAUGGGAUUGGACAGUGGGGGGAAGGAUUAACAAGUUAUUUUCAAAAGGAACUAAAAGGAAGAGAAAAUAGUGGAGAAUGCACUUUCCUCAAAUGGGUGGACAUGACAAUGACUUUCCAUGUAUUGAAACACAGUGGGAUGCAUUCUUGCAUACCUCAAACCAGCCUCAUGCUUGAGACCUGCGCAAUGCUCAUGACAGAGGUUUUACUGAGGGCUACAAAGACAUGGACCUUAGUCUCUUCUUUAACAAAACACUACUCAAAAGCACAAUGUUUAAGAAAAUAUUCUCAGUGGGUACCAACACAUUCAUAUUUUCAAGCACCGUGCUACAGUCCUACUCUUGUAUUUGAUUAUUUGAGGGUGAUAUUUGGUUGGUCAUUUCCAGCCCAUGGUUUGACUCCCUGCUUUUCUCACAUAAAACAUCUCAAUCUGACUCCAUCUGUUUGCUCCAAUCUGAGUCAGUGCUGUGUGCAAUUUCCUGUGAGUGACUGUUUGCAGCAUGUGAGCGGACCACUAUUCUCAGCGCUGUAAUACUCCAUCUGUCUGACUAACAGGACUCGACGCCAUCAGGAACGACAGUGGCCUUGAGUGUGUAUGUGUGUGUAGUAUGGAUCACAACAUUUACAAGUCUAGUAAAUCCUGAGCGGGCAGCCACAUAAGCAGCCAGAAUGGUGGAUGGUGCUCCGGAGAGCAAUGACUCGUAGCACUGAUGAGGGGGGACAGUAGGUGGAAGGACAAGUGGAGCUUGAUUUACCUUUUGGCUAACAGUGGAGCAGCUUUCAGUCCAUGCUUGUGGAAUUUGUAGCACCUAUACAUUUUUUUUCUGCUGUCAUUUCGUGGACACAUGAAGAAAAAAAGGUGAAAGAAGUAGUUUUCAAGAUACAAGAAAAGUAGAAAAAAAGGAUGAAAAAAUCAAUCAUCCAAUCAACUUUUCUCUGGCCUUGCCUACAUGAUUCAGCUGAAAAACCACAGCUUUUUCUCUGUGUAGUAACGGCAAAACUAUAGUUGCCAGUGUUACCUGUUAUCCGCCAUGCUUCUUCAGUCUAAAAUCACCUCUGACCACAAGAGCUUGGAGACACUUCCAGUUUUAAGAGUUGGAAUCAUAGACUGUCUAUAAAAAGGACGCCAUAUUUACCUAUCCUGUUGGAGUUGAAGAGAUUUAGAGCUGCUCCUGUUGACUGGCUGCAGUCUAGGACAUAAACCAUCGUUCAUAUGAUGAUUUAUGUCUGUCCAGGUGUUCAUUUUGCCAACAACUCUAGUUUUAGUCACUCAAUUUUGAAGAGAGCAGAUAUGACAAAAUGACUGACAGCUUUGUUGACAAAUGCAGGCCUCUGUCAAGGAUAAGCAGAGAAGAGGAGGUAUGGUGAGGAAAAAUGGGUAAGAAACACCAGCUCAUGAGUUAGUCGGUAAAAGAGUUAGUACAAGAAGUACAAGGAUAUGUUCUGCUGAAGACAGAACCAGUUUGUUAAUGAACAAAAUGUGCUUGUGUGGUUUAAUUUCAUCACCAUUUGUUGUUUUUAUGGGAUCUCUUACAUUGUCAUUAUCUGCCAUGGCUUAAGGUCAUUACACACCGGUGAAUCCAGUGAAGCGAUGCAAAAAUGUGAAAUAUUCGGCUUACGCCUUUUCCUACUCCACGUUUGCAGUUUGCAGGAGAGGACAAAUUACAGAGAGCCGAUAGCUCCAGAGCAAUGGUUUGCUACAUGUCUGAGGUAAGAUUUAUAUUAGGCUAUAGAUUUGAAUAGCAGUUCGCCUGUGAAUGUUCGCAAAAUUCGCUACAGGGUGAAAAACUUACAGUUGCUCUGUGGAAGUUCGUAGCCGGUGUGGAAGAUUGCAUUGGCUUUAUGAGGUAUUAAAAAAAGGCGAAUUAUUCACUUCGUAAAUUCUCUUCGCAAAUUCGCCAGAGUUUAACAACCUUUAUCCUGCUAAAAAAAGGCACUGCAAGAGUUAAGACUAGGAGGCAACUCCCGGGGCUGAGAGUUGGAGCCAACAUACUCGUCCAAACAACUGCAGUUCUUUUAGGUGCCACUUUAGGUCGUCUCUGAAAAUGAGUCAAUCCCCAUUGAGCCCAAUAUGAAAAUACAAACUUCUCAAAAGAAUUAAACAAACAUGUGAUCUCUCAGUUAUGCUCAAUGAACGGUGUGGCCCCUUUCAGUGAGAGGUAUGUGCAGUGUUACAUCGACUGUAAGCCGCAGAACUCAAUGCAUUUUGGGUAGUUUUUGUACAAAUAUCCACCAAAAACAUGGUUCAUUCAGGCCCCUUGCUCAUUUUCCAGCUUGUGAACUGUCCUUUGACAGCCUGGCUUCUCAGUCCACCCCCUCAUCAUUAUAUUGUAAAUUCUGGCUCAUGAAAACCAACAUGGCUUCAGAUCAUAUGUCAAACUCAUACUUUAAAAAGGCAGUCCACAAACCAAUGGGGGAUGUCACCAUGACUUUUCCAUUGUGUAUACUGUCUAGAGCAGCAGAUUGUUCUAAUGCAGUUUAACGUGGCAGGAGAAGCAGGUGCAGAGCCCCGUGAUGGCCGUCUGCAGCCAUUCAGGUCUAAUCAGACCAGGUAAUGAUGCGCUGCUCAGUUUGUCCAGUCCCAGACGGAGUUGAAAACAGGUGAGUCUGAUUAAACAGGAUGCAGCUACACAGCUCUGGUAAACACAAAACAGACACAAUUCAUAUAUCACUGCAUGAUUGUUCUCAGCUGCACAGGAUGGAGCUUAUUCACCCUUAAUCAUUUCUGAAAUAUGCCCCUGUUAGCAGGCAAAGAUGAGAAAUUCAGAGCUUAUCGUUGUUUGAGGUGAUUUUGUCUUUUGUUUGCCUUUAAAGCCCAGCAUCUUUGAAACAUUUUAGAUAACACUUUCACAUCAUGCAAGUCAGACAAAAAUCUCAUCAACUGCUUCACAAGCUGCUGAAAUCUAAUACUGUCCUUCAAGGCCCACGGCUCUGAAAAAGUCACCCAAAUGUUUUCCUUCCAGUGUCUUUAUUCUCAUAUUGAAACAUAAUACAUGCAGAUUCAAGCUGUUAUUUCACACGAAAUGUCUUGGAGGCUGACAUGAGACAUUAACAGUGUCUAUUUCAGAAUAUUUCUCAGUUAGUCCAUGAGCUGAUAUCAGCUGGUUAACGGUCAAAUACAUAUCACGUUGCAGAGCCGAGAUUAGAAAACAACAUUUUCCAUUGAUUUUUCACUUCAUUAAGGAAUUGGACACAGAUGCAGACUAUAGACAGUCAAAUGAGUGAAACUGUUUCAAAUAGAUUGCUGUGACAACUGAACCAAUCAAACCAGCAACUUUCUGACAGAGAGACAGCUUGGCUCCAACACUGCCACAGUCGCCCCUUAAGGUUCUGGAAAGUAUAAUAUGCCGCGUGGGUCAUACGUUUAAAAACUGACUGUCUCCAACUUUAUGGAUACAUCAAGUGCAUUUGUUCAACCUAGUAUCAGUCAAUUUAGUAAAGAAACUAUUUUACAGAAGUUUGGGAGAACUGACCUGUAUGCAUUGCAGCUCUGUGCAGUUUGCUCCUGUUUUGCAUCCGAGCUGUGAAAAGGAACCAUCAGCAUCUCCACCUCCUGCUGUGCAGAGCUGUGCUGUGCACUUUUAACCUCACAGCUUGUCCAAACCAUCGACUGUAUAUACUAUGGACAACUUGGUACCGCUUUCUGCCAGUAUAUGGAUUUGAAGCCGAAUUGCUCUCAGUAUCGCCACGUUUUUUCUCCAUUUCCUGAAACCAACAUUGCGCAGUAGCGUUGUACACACUCCACCACAUGCACAGGAGCAUUGUACCCACUCGAUGGGAGAGUCACAGAGAGUCGCUGUGAUGACGCUCGUCUCAAACAGCGUGCCCCCGGGUGAGCUACGCAAUCUUCGUACACCCAUAGGCUGUAUCAAGUGUCAAUCAUAGAAAACAUGAACCCCCUAAUAACUUUUAAAAAUAGAGCUGCACAGGAAAAAAAAGGACUUGAGCACAAACCAAUUUCACUGGAACUACAUGUCAACAUCAGGCAGGGAGGAGCAAAAUUUAUAUUCUGUAUAAUAAAUUUCUUAAGUGUGUCCACAGCUCCAUAAGGAUUGCUAGUCUAUGGUCCAAACCUGAUGGGGAGGGUACAGUAUAUUCAAAGAUGAUCCAUUACAGAUGUGAUAGACAUUUCACAGUUUUAAACUGAAGUUUGACUCUGGAGCGAGCCAAAAUGCACAACAACUCCACAAGUUGCACAGGUGUAGUUGGUGCAAAAGCUCUCCGAAUAUUAUAUGUCUACUAAACCUGGAACAUUGUGUUGACUAAGAGUAUCAGUUCUGAGACCUUCUAGUACACUGCAUUAAACAACAGCCCUGUGCCAAGGAAGGCAGCAGAGAGGAAAACAGGGAAAAUUCAUGGCUGUCAAGAAAGAACCACAUAUAAUCUACUAUUUCUGAUUCGAAACAAAUUUGUCAGACCUUGAGAAAGUAACACUGCAAGUUGGUAAAUUCAUUAAAAAGUUACAUAAAGCUUUAAAGUAUCUGCUCAUUUACAGGGGAAAUUUACAAUAUAUCAGUAAUCUGAUGAGAUGCCAUAUGAAGUUUAUAUUUGUGUAGGCUAAGACAAAAAUAGCAGGAACGACACAUCGUGCCAUAAAUGUGUUUAAGUUUAUGUGUAACAGGAGAAGCAACACGAUGAGAUGAACAACAGCACCUGAGUCCUGUUACCUCUCUGAGGAUGGAAAUAUGAAAAUGAAAAAAUAUCUCUUUAAAUCUUUAGGUGCAGAAACCUGGAUCUGCUGAUAUACUUGAUUUACUGUCCAUUUUGGAAAGCUGUCACAUUUCGGCAUCAAAAGAAGCAUCUACAUUACUUUACACUGUAUAUAGAUGUCUGUGUGAGCUCAGAGAGGUGUUCAGUCAUGCACCAGCUUUUGAUGAAAACGCCAAAUGGCUUGUUGAUAUCAAGCCAAGCAUGAAAAAGAUAAUAUACGGGGCGCGGAAAAGCAAAGUGAAGUCAAAAUCACAUGAAAGUAGGAUUUCAACAUCAAUAGGAGACAUUUCUGAGGCGCAAAAAUGCUAUAUGUCACAUGACCCUUCCCUGUGUUGUCCAUACAAGGAUAUUAUUGCCAUGCUGAUAGGACUGCCCUCCAUUUUAAAUGAUUUCCUGUCCAGGUCGGUGCAUAACGGGCCUUCCAUUAUCUCCUGAAACUCAAGAGCUUGACCAGAGAAGACGAUUUCACCGAUCAAUACAGUAAUUUCAUACAGAAAUAUACAAGGAGUUACAAAUGGGGUUGGAGGGGGGAUGUCUGAAGGAGGAUAUGUCACAUUUUAUUCCCAAGACACUGAGGAUAAAAGCAGACAUCAGUGGAUCUGUCUAGCCACAGUGAGUAUCAGAAAUAAAAUGGACAACUGGACACUUUUAUCUGGUUGUUUGAUGUUUGUGGGGAGGCUGGCGGAGGUUCAAGGACAAACUGUACAGGGGGUGGGGUGGGAGAGAAAAUGGAAACGCGCACAUACAAAGGAAAAAAGAAAAAAAAAAAACAUCAGCAAAAGGAGAAAAACAACAAAGCAAGUGAAAAAGGAAGAGACAAGUGCCUGAACAAUGGCUGGUCUUUAAACAUUUACCUGUGCGUGCUGAUGCUGAGGGGAGAAAUGGCUGUUUGAUUCCAUUACACAUCUAUUACAGCUGUAGUUAAUGGCUGUGUCACAGUCUAUUAACUGCAUUCAUCUUUUCCCCUGAUAUAUACCAGGACAUCAGCGGUGAACAAAGACAGAUGACUGUGGCUCCCCACUGCACAGUUAUUUACAACACACACCUUAUUUUCAUACAUGGACCCACAAAAACAUACAGCACAUUCAACACACGAUGCACAAAAAAAACAUAUAACCUUUAUUCUAAUAUACUGCAGUGUAUCUCAAACAUAUAACACACACAUUCAUCUUCCUGUCUGCUCCCUGUAACAUGGCAGUGACAUGCAGCAGUGUAGCCUGAUAAAGGCAAACAGAAAAGGUGGAUUUCAUCUAAAUAUGUCACUAUCAGAAGCAUCAGCACAUAGGACUGUAAGCAUAUUUCCUGCUCUGACAGACGACACAAACAGCAGGAAAGAUAAGCAGUCAUACACAUGACUGACUGUGCGUGUUCGCAUACAUAAACUUUAGGUAUAUCUGCAGCUUUAUUCACAGCUCAAUCCUGGACUGAAGCUUAUAUCUGACUGUUUUGACUGACAGGAUUUUCAUAUCUAUUCCAAUGUAGUCUGCCUUUUCUCACAUUAAAAUGCACUGAAAUUUCCCUCUCUUGCUUCUCUUUUGCCUCUUUCAUUCAAAAAGACGUCUUAUAAGAUAUCCAGCGUACACUAAACCAUUUGAUUUAGCUGUCACUUUCCUCACAGAAUUAAAUCCAUGAAUCUACCCACAGGUAUAAGACUAUGUUUAAACAAAUCCCACAUGAUUUGUGUUACACAGGAACAGAGGUAAAAUAUUCCUUCUCUGACAUGGAAAAAAAUCUCUGUGGGAAUUGGGGAUAUUAAUACUAUCAAGACUCUGACAGCAACCAGUGUAAUAUUUCAAGUUUUGGCUCAUUUGAAAAUGCAAUUUAUCUAAAUCAAACGUCUUAUCAUCUCUCUGUAGCUCAAGAAAAGUAAGUCUGAAAUUUAGUCAUCACGACUAUAGAAAAGGGGCACGCAAACCUUGGCACAAAACCCCAUAUCGUUAUAAUCUCAAGGCUCAAAAAUCAGACUUCUUGCAGUACAAAGUGAUAUAGUUUGUGGUUGUAGCUUUGGCAGCCCCACCGAACACGACACUACAUGCACUAUAUUGGUAACUGCAGUCUGCUGGAGUAAUUGUCAGCAGUCUUCAGAGUUCUUCCUGCUAACAGAGUGAAAGCACAGUGGUUCACACAAUCUUAACCUAAAGCUCCUGUAAGGAGUUUUUCAUCAAUAACACUGAUGUCCCUUCAUGAGCAAAUGAACGCACUAUUUUAAAAAGUGAUUAUUUCUGUGUGAGUAUUUUUAAAAGCAACAGUGAUGAUAGAUGAUCUGAUCUUUUUGGACCUCAGUUUUCAAACAUUUGUUUUUAUAUGGGAGAAAGGCAGACCUGCAUAAGGAGCUCCAUGUAUGUUUAGUUAAUUUCUUCGGGGGUUUAUUCAUGGUCUCGGCAGCACCUUCAAAUGAGCCGCUCUGAGAUGAGGCUCUUCUCCCUGCUGGCUCUUGCUGGUCAGUAUUAACCUAUUUAGGGCGGCUUUUAGGCUCCUCCAUCCCCCCUAUACUCUUUCACAAUUUAUGAGGCCCAAUCAAUACAGAGUGGAGCACCCACAUGAAAAAUGGUUCUGGGGUAAACACAGAGAGGGGCACAUCAAAGAAAAGAGAUACCACUCACCAAAUUAAUAUAACCUAAUACACAACGAGAAGAGCUCCAGACCCCCCAGAGCCUAAUACCUGGUUAGAGCACUUUUAUUUCCCCCUUCCUCCUUCCUGCCUUCCUCUACACCCUCUCAUAAAGCUUUAUCAAAAGCUAAUUAUCCUCAAAAACAAUGAAAUAACUCAUAUGAUGGCAGCUUAUAUGGAGUUUAUUGUAUGAGCCUGUUGGCAAGAGUGCCCUACAAAAAUUAUAUUGUCACUUACCUAUUAAUGAAGACAAGUUUGCAGGCAGUCUUUGGUCCAUUUUAAUUUAUAUUAAUUCUCUGUCAGCCCUCGUUAUGGGUGUUAUUAAACUGCAUCCGGAAGCUAAACAAGGCUUUUGACCCAUGCACAGGUUUGAAUAAAUCUCUCUCUAUCAUUUAGAGGCUGUGAGCGGGCGAAAUACCUUUACAAACAAUCCGGGACAAAGAGGGACGUGAGAAGAAUUAAGACGGGCUUAACUUCAACAAUUUCUGAGGCGUCUUUGUGGUAAUGAUGCAGAUUCACAGUACAGAUCAAACAUCCUUAAAAGAGGAGGAUAUGAAGGAUAGCUUGUGUUGCAUGUUGAAGUACUGCGCUAGUAUCAUUAAAGUCUGUUACACAGUCAUGGAAAACCGGGGCACUUAUAACACCUUGUUGACGCACCUGUUAUGCACUCUGGCUAGUUUUUUGUUUGUCUGCUGAGUGUCCAUUUACUUGUUCCAUUAAGCUCAAACAAUAAAAGUUCUGUGGGCAAAAAAAACUUGAUUUGGAUAAAUCAAUCCAUUUAUACUUUUGCGCCAUAAACCAAUAAAUCAAACACAAAUUCCAGCCGCCCGCCUUCUUGUGCGCCACACUUGAAGUAAUUAGUGGGCACUUUAAAUGCCCUUUGGUGCUCUCCACAGCGCCACACAGGUAAACUAAAGAACGGUUCCACCACACCUGAUAACACUUUUCUUACUAUAACCAGUCAAAACUGCACAAACCAAACUGCAAGUCAAUCAUGAAAAGAAUUGCUGCUCAAACUGGACCUGCUGCAAGUUUCUAAAUCCAAUUCACCUGCUGUACCAGUUAGUUUCAUACUGGUAGCCAAAUUUGCACCAUCAGUUUUAAGAAAAUUAUGCUAGGACAGAACCUGUACCUCAAGAGUUGGUUGAGAAAUGCUAUCCAUCUUUACAUAAAUCAUAUGAACCAAAGGCCUUUUAAAAUGUUCUUGUUUUCAGUAAAGAAAAUACUUCAACAUAUCAAAAAGUUUUAAAGGAAAGUAUCAGUUGGCAUGAAAUUUGCUGCAUCAUGUUAUCAAAAAAUAACAAUACCAUUGGAGUUUUUGGUCUGCUGUCUUUGUAAGAGCUAAGUCUAUACUUUUAGCUACUGAGAUGCUUGACCGAGGUCAGUGGUUCUCGAGUCCAGUCCUCCAGGCCCACUGUCCUGCAUGUUUUGGAUGUUUCCCUGCUCUAACACACCUGAUUCAAAUGAUUAGCUCGUUAUUAAGCUCUGUAAUGGCUUAAUAACGAGCUGAUCAUUUGAAUCAGGUGUGUUGGAGCAGGGAAACAUCCAAAACAUGCAGGACAGGGGGCCUCAAGGACUGGACUUGAGAACCACUGACCUAGAGUAACCUGGUUGAUGCACCACGUGACUGGUUUCUUACACUACAGUGAGAUUUUGAUGAUCAGUGGUAGUCCGGACGCUGUUUCUCAGAUGCAGUGGACAAAAAUUUAUUGCAAUAAACAUUAAAAAAUCCAUUUUGCAAUUGACAUCAAGCAACACAGACAAAACAAAAAAAAAAUGCCGGCAUUUAGCGCCACAGCGGUCAAAAACCUUUUGCCCUUCUGGGUCAAUCACCUGCCCACAACAGUGACAUAGCUACCUUUAUUCCUGAGCCCCAGAUAAUAAGACAGCAACAAAUUUGGCUCCUACAGCCUUGCUUUUCUGAGAUACUAUAAAAGUUGUUCUCACUUUAUAUGACAUUUUUCAAGUGUCAAAUACGAAGAUUUGUCAAGUGCAGCAUUAUUUUCAGCUUCAACCAACUGACUGACCACAAAGUGAGAGAAUAGUCUGCAUAAUGUCUUUGCCAGUUAAUAUGCAGGCUCUUUGACAUGUUUAAUGUCAGAAAAUAGGUAUACUAUUUAUGUAUCAAAUCUGGGUUCAGUGUAAGAAAUAUCUUUUCCUCCACCUUCAGUAACCUAAUUUCAGUGUCAUAACAUGCCACAGAAAGGUUGAAUAACCCGCUGAUAUGCUCCCAUUACUCUGUCCCAAUUUCCUUUCACUAGAUCUGCAUUAAAACCGCAAAGCUGAUCUGUUGCCAGAGCCCCUGAUCAUUGAUGGUGUUGAAGAGAAGGUCACAGAUGACGUUCACACCAGAAAAUCUGCAUCACAUCACUGAUUCUAACAGAGCUGAUGGGCAGUGAUUGGCUAAUGAGGCUGAAACUGCACCAUUCCAGUCAAUUUAACCAAAUGCUUCAUGUUCAUGUAAAAAUAUUAAAUAUACGUCACAGUUCUGCGUCUAUUCCCAAAAGGAUGAGGUUUUUUAACGCAGCUUUCCCAGAAACAAACCCUCAUUUCCUCCAAAACGGUCUCUCUCUUAUGACCAAGACAAACACUGCCAUGCUUAAUCCUCCUGUGUUAACAGUUGUCUUCCUGGCAGCCAUAUUGGUUGUUUCACCCCUCUACUCUGCACCCGUUCCAGGAAGAAGGAGCUAUUGUUAAAUGAUCCAUUCAUUCUCCAUGGCUGUGUGAAGAGCUUCUGGUCAGUGGAGAGUGUCUAAUCUGCCAUGCUGUCUGUGUUUGUAUGGCUGUAACGCCAAUGACUGACUGUUAUUUGUAUUCCCUUCACAACAGUCCACCUAUUGGUCUGACUGCCUGUCUGCCUGUCUGUCUCUCUGACUGGCACAAAUAUCUGCACUGUCUGCCUGACUGCUGCACUGACUGACCACCUGUCUGAACACCUGAUUGGGUCUAACUGCCUGUCUGACUGCAUCAAUAUCACAUUUCCUAAAUGUCCGCCUUUGUGUCUGAAAACCUGACCGUUUGAAUUUCUGCCUGGAGGUUGAACUGCGUGACUGCCUGUCUGUCUGACAGCUUGUCUACUUGCGUUCCCAAAUGCCUAGAUAUUUGACUACUUGAGUUUGCACACCUGUCUCCAUUUCCACCUACUUGUGUCAAAAGAUGAAUGCUCGCAUGAGCCAGAAAGUGAACAAAACUCAAUAACAGGGAGUGGAUGAAUGAAAGUCUGGACGUGAAGGAAAGUGGAAAGAGCAUUUUAGUUUCAGAACUGAGGCCAGUCUUGAAGUACAUAAUGGCCUCAGUUUUUCUGAACCAGCGAGAGACGACUCAGCUGUUUGAGUAAGAAGUGAAGUGUUUCAGAUGGGAAAAAGGAACUUACCUUUCCCAUCGUUCAGUUUUUCCUGAGUAUUUUGAAGCUGAAAUGGUGUUGCACCUCUUGUGGACAGUAAACUUUACGGCUAUUGAUCAGAUACUUAUGGGAUAGUUAUUCAGAACCUCAGGUCUUGAGAGAUGAGGCCGGUUUGUACUAAAAACUGCACCAGAACCUUUGUCGCUGUGCGUGACCCCCCCCCCCCACCCUCUCUUCCUAUAGUUUCUGGCUCUCUUUCUUGUUGCCAAAUCAAGGUACAGAGAAAAAAAAAAGCUUUAUUUGGGACUCAGGAUUUUUAGUCGUUUUACCUUAUAUUUUCUAACUAUGUUCAAUUUUCAAAGCUUUUUUAAACCCCAUUGGGAAAAACUGUUUCACAAUUUUAUUCCCAAAACUAAAACAAAUUCCUGGUUUUCACAUCGCUUCUCACUCCACAUGGCUCAAACAUAAAUAAAUUUCUCCUUAUUUUCUUAAUUAAAAAAUAGAAUGUAAACAGGAUUUUUUUUUAAUUUGCUCAAAAAUGGAAAAUGUUUAAGAAACACCAUCCUUAAAAUACGAUGCGCAAUACCUAAUGAAUAAACGUACUGGAGAUUCAUGGCAAUAAACUGUAUUUAUUUAUCAAUAUUUGCUGAAAGUUCAUUGACAUAGUAUAUAACAGCUACUAUAAAAUUCAAUGAACACUCGUGAUUAACCCUUAAAGCUUUGGUUCUCAUAUGAUAUUUUCUACAAUAAGAAAUCUUACAACAUUUUAUAACUCUAAAUAACCAUAAACUGCACACCUUCCAGCAUCUUCAUGGCCACAAACUAAAACCACAGUCGACACAACUUUUAGUAUUUUUUGCAUCAUGUCAUCUUUAACUGUUUUUUUAAUGUAUCACCAUACCCAGUCCCUGAACCUUUAUAUGUACAAAGGCUGGAUAGCAUCAGUGUCAGUUGUGGUACAGUAGAGGAGUUCUUUGACUGUCCUUCAGACAAGUGGGGGUCUGAUCCCUGGUCCCCAUGUCAGGUGUCCUUGGCCAGAACACUUAACCCCAAACUGCCCUUGGUGGCUAUGCCAAUGGUGUGUGACUUUGAUUAGUUAAUACUGAUGGGUGCUUCAUGUGGGACAUCUUUACAUCUGCCAUCAGUGUGCAAAUGUGGUGUGAAAGGCUAAAUGUGACAUGUGCAGUGAGAGGUCAGACGAGAGAAAGUGCGUACAGUCCAUUUACCAUUUACUCUAAGAACAGCAUGUUGAAUGGCAGCUGUAAUGACUUUACAUUACAUUCUAUGAUAUGUGCGGUUUUUGCGUCUGAAUAUCUGUAGUAAUAUGAGCUUUUGUAAUGUUGGAUGCUUUACAUUUUAAAGAGGGGGGUAUUGUGCUUUUUUCAGACUACCAGAGGGUCCACUACCUAUUUUCAAAAGCAGUCUAAAUCCGAUAUUAACAGCAUUUUCAUCUUCAAAAGUUGUCAACACAACCUGCCAUAGCUCCACUAAUAAAAUAAAUCAGAUAUGCAGCAAAUAAAAUUAAUAUUAUCACCUAACAGAGCUCUUCCAAAACCUCUUCAUAUGCUAUCUGAUUCACUAUUCCACCUUUUUGUCCUUCAAACUGAAGUCAUGUACUCCUUGGUUUUAUCUGCAGAGUUAACGGGACAGUCAAGGUGAAAAGCUCAGUGCCACUGUGAUAAUCAGAGCAAGAGGAACUGGCCACAGCUAGCUCUGAAAAUGGAUGUCUCACCGGGGAGAAUAUUGCAUAUGGUGCAUUAUUAUUAUUUUUUUAUUAGGUCAAAAAAUGCUUUGUAAAGCAUUUUAUUGCAGCAGGCGGGAAUAGCAGAUGAAUUUCUCACUGGGAUAAUGCGCAGCCAAGCUUCUUCCUCUGCGUGUUGUCUCCAUAAAUAUUCAGACCCACAGUCCAGGGGUCAUGUUGGGUGAGAGGAAAGCUGCGGUUAUUCAAACAGUGUUUUGCUGACGUGUUUUAAAAGGUUGAUACAGGUCAUGUUGUCUGAAUGAUCCUACAGCCUGCCUUAUUUCUCUUUUAAUAUUUAACACAUCCUGUUUUUAAUCACAUUCCUUUCCUCUUUUCUAAACUUCCAGCCUUCGUUUCUUCUCUCGUCUUGUUAGGUACCUCUGUCAACCUCUGCUCUCUCACCUCUGUCCCCAGUUAACGUGUGUCUCUGUCUCUCUGACUCAUCCUCAGUCGCUGCCUCUGUAUAACCUUCCCAUAACCUCAUUCUUUAUCCUUGUAAGAAACUCUGGCUCUCCCUUACAAAUGCAGUGCCUUUUCAAUGUUUUGAAAGUUGUUAAUAGUAUGAGGUGAUGUUAAGAAGUUAGCAAACUGGCCAGAAACUCUGGACAAGGCCAUGUUUGAUCUGCUCCCUCAUGUUCCCAUGCAGUCUUUUUGAUAAGCAUUAGCUUUAACCAGACUGAUUAGAGUAGCAUCCUCACACAUCUUUCAGCUCUUUUUAAUAACUCUCACACAGGUAUAAUAAUGUUGGUAAAUCCUGCACAGUUUUACUUUUGUGAUUACAGUUCCCCUCCCUAGACAUGCAGGUGCAAAUGUUUACAUGGUUGUGUACAAGUGGGGUGACCAUGUUCUGAAUCCCCAAAAAGAGGACACGACUACAGGGGGGCCUAAUUAAUUUUGAGAGUUUUUCGGGUCGGGUCGAGUGUUUUUUAUGUGCUUCUAACUCAGUUAGUCCAUGCAACACAAACUCAACACUUCCCUGCAAAACCCCGGACAUUUGAAGGAUUUUAUGAACUCCCCCAGACAAACCCUGAGGAGGCCUGACUGACCGGACAGCCCCCAAAAAAGAGGACAUGUCCAGGUAAAAGAGGACGUAUGGUCACACUAGUACAAGACAAGCUUUCUGUUUGGAGAUAUUUUUACAUUUUCUCAGAAGCUGCCACUGACCCUACAUCCCUCUCUUCGCUCCUCUGCACCUCAAUCCUUUGUCCCCCUUCCUCACUCAGGUAUUUUCAUCUUCUCUGCCUUUUUGAAACCAGGGGCUCAUUCAAUUAGCCAUCUGCUAGCCUGACCAGCUGCAGCAGUGUGACCAUCUCGUUGGAUAGUGUGACCCCGAGGGUCAGGACAGGUGAGUGGACAACAAUCAGCCACUUUGAUUACUCCCUUAACCACUGCAGAGCAACCAAUCUACCACAGGGUUACCAGUGAACCUAUUAACCUGUUCGCCCACACACACGCACACACACACACUUACUCACUGCAAGGAAAUUGGAUGUUGGAGGAAGGGCCUGAUGUGGUAUUUUCUAAUGGAAAUCCAGAGAGUAAAAUAAAGUCUAGAGGUAUUUUAUGUACAUAAGGCUUUUGAAUACAUGUCUGUUUGUGUUACAGUCACCAAAAUAAAACCAGGAACUCAAUCCAUGAGGUUAUUAUUUCAAAGACUUCCUCUUUCUCUUUUGUAGUCCUGUUUUAUUUCCUCCUUGCCCGAACUGAUUGACAUUAAGUCACACAGAAAUAUCCCCAACCUGCAUCAGUGAAGAGCCUCAAGUGUGUGUGUCAAUGUGUGUGUGGCAACAAGGUCAGCAAACACAGGCAGCAAUUAAAUAGCUGCUUGUAGGCUUCAUUGAUUAAGCUGUUAGCUGUUUUUUUUUUCUCUUGAACUGGAUUUUUUAACCAUUUAGGAGAUCAUUUGCAGUUUCACAGGUUCAUAUAAAGUGCUUUGCCAGUUACUUCUGUUACCAAAUAGCUGUACUGGACACAAGUAAAAGCACUGUGUGAGAAUGAGGGAAGUCCAGGGGUCAAAGAAAGCCGGUAUGCAGCGGUACGCCAUACCAGGAAGACAUAAACAGCAGUUUACAUCCGGUAUGCAGCAGCAUGUAAACUCUCACCCCUGCAAUGUAUGUAGGCCACAAUUGCUUACCGUGUUGCCGCACGUCACUCUGCACUCUGCAUUGUAACCGUAGUAAUCCAAUGGUACCAUGCUGCUUGCGAGUGAGUCGUAUUUGCCUCUGUAAACAAACUCCAAGUGGGCGCGCUCAGUGCGCACUUUUGAUUGGAUGCUGGUUGCCUAGGCGCUGGGGACCGCCUUCUGCCUUUUGCGGAAGGAGGGAAUUUUUAAAGAGACAGCUGCUUCAAUCUUAAUGCAGAAAUAAAAUGACAUGAAUGCAGAGAAAAUUGAUUUUAUGUUCAAGAGAAAGAGAGAUGCAGCAGAUGAUGAUACUGUGGCAUCAGAGUCGGCACCUUGUUAAACUUCGGUGUGCUCCUCUUGUACAAGGCCUAUGGGUACAGUAUCUGCAAGAACUUUAUCCUACUUUAACCCCUGGAGAAGUCCCUCUACAGGAAAAAACAGAUCAGGGUUUUGUCUGCAGAAGAGUGUCCAUGAUAUAUUUUUUCAUGCUUGUGACAACUCAUUUAUUUUCCGUCUACUUUGGCCAAGAUGUAUGUGCAGCUCGUAAAAAAUAUCAGCAAGCUUUCCAUUGUCUGGAUUUUGGACGAUUGAGGUGGACAUUAGACAAGCUGUUCAUGCUGUCAAACUGAACAAUCUAACCUGUCAUGAGAAUCAAGCCAUUCUGGACAGCCUUGUCUUAUGCACCCAAAGAAACAAAGAGGCUGUGGAAACACAAGCAAAAUUAGAGUUUACCAUAACAAACUGCACAUGCUCCAAUUUAGUGCAAGUCAGUACAUUUACAUGCAUAGUUAAGUUGAGCUACAGUCAUAGCUGGAUUAGGUGUUUAACUUGAUUACUUUCUUUAUCCUGGUUUACAAGAACUGGGUAAGAAUCGAAUCGUAAGUGGGGACAUGCAUCCUCCCAGCUUGUGGUUAUCUAGUUGUACCUCAGCUGACUUAUUACGUUGACGAAACAUGUUUGCAGGAGACUAACAGGAUGUACGUCAAGCGUUAUUUUUACAGCUCUUUACAGUGUGAUAAGAAGGUUCUUUUCUUUGUCUGUUGAGGUUUUAUUUACUACCCGGCCUCCUAGCAAUGCAUUAGUGCUAUUCAACUUCUAGCUCAAGGUCUGGUGUGCAAAUACUGGAGCAUGGAAGAGAAAAUCAGUCCCCAACCACAUUAUGUUAUUCCAACUUUAAGUAGCUUUAUUAAGUGUGUUUUAUGUAACUAAUAUAUUGUGAACUGAUUUUAUCUGUAGCCUAUACCAUCCAAGGGAAACUUCAGCACUCUCCCAUAUCAGCAUUCAAAUCAGGGAGUCAAACCAAGUGUAAUGAAAAUACACAAUAUUAAUAUAAAAAGGACGAAAAACAGUGAUGCUGAUAUUAUACUGACAACUGUGGAAAAACUGCAAAUCUUCAGCUCUACUUUGCACUUGGAGUCAAUUACACAAGGCUACACUCAUAUGUGAUAAAUGAGCCCGCAGGAGAAAAGGGUGUCAGCAGGGAGGAUGGAUGAAAGACAGCACGGAUCAGUUGGUUGUAGCUACACAGAUCGUCCUCACAUCAGUGCAGCUGAAGAUUUCACUGAAUACUGAAUAAGCUCUGAAUGUCGGUGUCCUACAAAAAAUUGAAAUCCUGCUUCUUCACUGCUCUAACAAGGUCCUGGAGUGAUGCAGCUGGAGGCAAGUCUUGUGGUGCAGAUGUAGUUCAAAGUAGCAGAAUUGGUAAUAAGAGGAAGAACUGGAAAAGUAGCACGGGGAUCGAUGGUCAGCGUGAGCGAGAAGGCAAAGUGAACAGCACCAUCCUCAGAAACUCUCAUAGACGGAUAAAAUCAAAGCGUUUGUGUCACAAUGUGGACCGUGUUCUUAUUUGCUUACUGACUAGAACCUUAACUAAUGACACACAAAGUAAAUUUAUGUAUUCAUUUACACAUGCACUAAAAACCUACACCAUAAUCAUGAGUGCGCUGGAAAACCUGGUUAGAUCACAGGCAUGUGUGUGAGUUCAUGAAUGCUAAUUGGUCGUAAAGUGACAACACACCCCCGCCAUAGCAAUUAGCUUAAAUCCUCACCCAUGACUAGCUGAUGAACGCCAUAUACAGAGGUGUGGAUGAAAGAGUGAGAAAGAGUUACUGAGAAUUAAAAACGUGAUUUCUGAGAAUAACGAGCCUUAUUGGUGUGAAAUCCUAAUUUACACAAACACUAUGCAUGAUCAGAGAAAGGCGUAGAUUUUGUGAGUAGCAAUGAACAAAUCAUAACUACUUAAAUUUUGACAAAUGCUGGAUCCCCUAUAAGUUUAGUUGAGCAAAAAAAGCAACACAAAUCUAUUCUGUUCACAUUUCAUGAAGAUUAAAAUCCCACAUUUGAUGAGAAGUAUUCUGAGUCACAGGGAGUUGAACGCCAGCAUUGGCAGAAUCUUUAAAUAUUUUGCCUUACAAUUAGUAAAACAUAUUGUAUGAUUGUCAGUGGUGCUGGUGGGAGGAUUGUGCUAGCUUACCGAACAUUUUUUUCAAAACUAUCCUUAUCUAUGGUAGCUUCUUACUUUCCUGUAAGAAAGUGGCAUCGUCAAUCUCUUUAUUUAACCCUCACAAAGAAAGUUGAGCACAAGACCCUCAACGUUUUGAAAGUUUCAUACUGACUUUAUAUAGAGUCUUUGUAAGAUCGUCAUGACAGGAGCAAAAAUAACCCUGCACUCUGAGGUCAUGAGGGUGAACUUCAGCACCUUUUGAACAAAACUUCAGCUUCCUGAUUAUAACUCUGUAUCUCUACCCUUUAACCUCCCACAUGCAGCACAGAAAUAGAUCAAGCCCCGCCACACUGCGCUUCCUCUUCACACUCCCAUAUGAACGCUAUCUGUCUAAGUCUCAUUAUUAACUCUGAGCAUCCUGGUGCAUAUAGAGGUAUAGAAUUCAGUGAUUCCAGGCUCUGUUCGCACAUCAUGAAUCUAUAAGUGUCUCUAAUUUUGGACAGAGAAAGGAGAGAUGGAGGAAGGUGACCCUGGCUGUGUUCUUAAUCAUCAGCUGGUCUGGAUGAGGUUAAGAAUGGAAAUUGGUUUGGCUCUGUAGUGAAUCUAUUAUCAUAUCUCCUCUGUCCUCCGCCCAGCUCCGCCUUUGUUUCUCAUCUCUGUUAGACACCGUUUUACAUCUCGCUCACUCUUCUUGUCCGCCCGUCUCCUCUUUGUCAUUCACUCUUUUUUUUCCUCUGCUCACUUUUCUCCACGUCUUCUUCUCUGUGAUGUAAAAACUGCCUCAGCAUAUUGAUAAUGGGAUUUAUUUAAAUAGCCCCCCUAAAGGGAAAGGACAUCCUCUGUGACAUCUGCAGUUAUUAUAUUAAAUCAUGUAGGUGUCUGCAUUAUUCCCCCUUAUCUACCACCCUGUAUUAUCCUCCAAAAUCAAACAGCCUACUUUCUUUGUAUUUUUUAUCAGAAAUAUCUGAACACACUAUCAAUCAGCUUUGGAAGAACUUUCAACUUCUACAUCCAUUCACACACACUGUGAAGUUUCCUCUCGCUGCAAACACUUGUUGGUUCAUUAGGAGCCUGUCGGAGUGAUGGACUCUUUGUUAGGCUGAUUAAACGGUCUCUCUAAUUAGCGGCUAUAUCACGGCUCAGUUCACAGCUGCUGUAGCAACAGUAAGUUAUGAGGCCCUACAAACAUUAAGAAAUUCUUUCCUUAGUUAGUUAGAACACCUAUGAUGUGCAAAAAAAGUCAAAUUAUAGUGGAUUUAUUUUGGCAGAUUGUUCGACUCUCUCUUGAAUUCUCCUGAAAAAGGUAGAACUAAAACAUUGGAUAAAUGUAAUUUCUGUGAAAUGUCACUUCAGUGGUACGAUAAAGUUAUUUGGUAUAAAAGUGGGUGGUGUGAUAGCUCCCCAAAAGUAAAGCCAAAACAGUCUCAGUUUCUCCAACUGACAGGCCACAGUAUAGAGACCACCCCCUCCAUGUAAACAGAUGGGACAUUGGUAAAACUUCAAGAUCAGAAUAUACUUCGCAUUUAUUUUUUUAAACCAUGCUUUCUGACAUUUCAGUUCUGAUCUUGAUGAUUCAUGGCCAGAUCUUAAUUUUUCAAACUACUUCAGUUUUAAUAAGACUUUUUAAGUAACAAAAGGGACUACUGUUGACAGAUGCUAAUCCUGUAUUACUGCAUUCUCUGCAUUAACAGAUUAGAUGUCAAACAGACACAAGAAUCUAUUCUGUUGUAGACUGUACUACCCCAGGUCUUGGCUGUUUAGUUUGACAGAAAAAAUAGUGUUUUGGGGACGAGGCAUUAAGGCUAUAUCACUAAAAGCCAGGACGAAGUGUGCUGGUUUUGGCUCCAACUAUGAAAAAUAUUUGCAGCUAUUGCUGGAAGUAUUUUGGUGUCAUGUCUGUACAGCAGGAGGAGGUGGAGAUGUGUUGUCCAUUUUCAAACACAAUCCAUGUUCAAUUGGUCUAAUGAUAAACUGAGGAAUAAUUACACCCAUGAAUGGAGGAUACAGCUUCUUGUAAGUAAGUAUCUGGCUACAUCGAAUCUAUGAAUAGUGGUUGCAAUGCACCAGUCAGAGGAUAGAGGCUUUUCCUUGUAACUGUAACUUUGUAAAUGCAGCAGAGUGCUCUAUGGUGGAUUAAGAGAGGAUAAGAUUUAGUCUUAAAAUAGGAUGAGAUUGAAUCUUAACUUGAUGGUGGUCUUUUUAAAUACUGCUGUUUAUAGGGAGUAUGGUCUAGACCUGCUCUUUAUUGUAAAGCUUCUUGAGAUAAAUCCGUACUGUGUAAAUUAGGACUGACUAACUGACUGUCUGAUUGUUUGAUUGACUGGUUCAAGAAAAUUUCCAAGUCAAUCAGUUUAAAUGUUCAGUUAAGUUUAACUGGACUACUGCGGCCCAGUUUACAUGCACUGGGCAAAGAUCAGAUUAUUGACUGAAGCUUCUGCUACAGUAGGUGGCGACAUGCCCCCUUUCAGCUUGACACGACUGGUCGUCCCCUUAUUGACUCAUUACAUAUCAAAACUAAACCUCCUUUCUUAGAGCUAACUAGCACACUGGCCACACAGUGACCUCUAUGGGAUUGGAGGUUGUUGUGAUCACAUGAAUUUGAGGGGAAUUACAGACACAUUCAAUAAAUUUAAUGGACUGAUGUGAAAUCAAUACACUGUCAUAAAAACAAACAUCCCGAUACUGUAGCUGUCUCAAAUCUUUUGGAGAGUCCUUUAAUACCACCCUUUAAUUUAUUUUAUGUGAGUUGGCAGAGAGUUGUGAAAAGUACUUAUUCCAAUUUUACAGCCUUCCCAAAGUGACAUAUUGGUUGUUGUUUCCCUCAAACAGCAAACCCAGAAAACUUUUAGUCAAUAUUUAUCUAAAAAUCCUCCUAGUCGGUCUCUGUUUUGCAGACGCUGCAAAUGAUAACUGAGGACUUUUAACAUUUUUACACUGCGCUCAUUAAAACAGACAGGGUUUGUGUGGAGCCUGUUUCCUCUGUAAGCAAAGGAACCAGCUCUGUCUAAACUGAGGCUGUCACAUCAAAACAACUCCAACUGCAGAGAUGUUUUUUCCACCUUUCAGAGUUUUCUUCUCCGCAACAUCAGCAUAGCGAGAUUUCACUAUAAUCAAGAGGAAGUUUUUGGAAGACUCUUAGAGAGUUUACAACUGUACUGCAUCAGCAGAGCAGUUUGGAAACAGUCCAGCAGUUUGUGUUAGUCCUUCUUUUUAACUGUAGGCCAGAGAUAACAUUAACCUUUCUCUGCUGUAGGAAACAAGAGUCCUGUGAGGUGGAAGAGGUCCCCAAGUGUAAAUGUACUCCAACAAAACUGUGGGUGUUGUUUGACUCGCUAAAAGCACCUGUUAUUUGUGCUGUAUUUAUGUUUUAUUUGUGGUCAUCCUUAAAGGAUCCAAAAACUGCAUGAAUGGCCAAUACACUGCUAGAAAUGUUCCUUUUUCCUGGCUGGAGCCUUUCACCGUGCUUUAGCAGUGUGAUAGCCAGAUAAUCAAUCUCACAAGCGGAUGCUAAUUGUUACAUUUAAGGUAUUGAUUUUUGUGGAGAUGGAGUUUCUUAACCCUAUGAAAUGACUGUUCCGAGGGAACAACCAGAGCUUCACAUGCAUUGACUUCAUUAUCUGUUUUUAUAUAGUGAGCGCUGAAAAUAACUACCUUUUAAUUUAUUCUGACAAUGAUCUUUCAAUAUGCUUCUCUGUGUUCGCUAACAUGUUAUCAUAUGUUCCCUCUGUGGGUUUGUUACCAGAGAUUCAUUCAUGUCAACAGAGCUCAGUGAGUGAAGAGAGUGAGCCAACAUGAUGACAGGGAUCAGACUCACAAGGCCUCAACAAGGGCGCGACUCGAAAUGUUGGUUCAAGACAUUUGAUGUGGAAAAGGUUAAGAUAAAAAAACGAAAAGGAUAAAGAAGAAAAACCAGCCAGAAUAAUAUAUUUCAUCACCCUGUUUGUCAUCUUUUACUGUUUGCUCAACAGACUAGGUAGAGAAAGCCUAAAAUUAACUACAUUAGAUAAAAAAUGUUCAGUGAUUGAAAAUAGUCAAAUGAAUUACUUUUUUUUUUUUUUAAGUACAAUGAAUUGAAAAAAUGACAAAAAGCUUCUGAAAUUAUUCAAGGAAGAUGAAAAGCAGCAGGUUUGAGUAUAUUUCUGAUUAAAUCUGAAAUGAGUAGUUCUGUCGGAUAAGAAGAUUAUUUUUCUGAGAACAAAAGUUUCAAGUGAGAGGUGAUGUAUGGUGAACAGGUGGUUAUGCAAAUGAAAUCCAGCCAAGAGUUUGCAGGUCUGUCUCUGAGGGGAUUCUCAUUCACAUCACCACCCAUUCACUAUCACCCCACAUAUUACCAGGCUACCAACGAAGAGCGUAAACAAUUAGACACAAAUUAUUUAUUAAAAAAAGAUAUUAAAAAGAUUUACUAAAACAGAUAAAAAAAUGCUCCCUCUGAUUCAACAGGGGCUUCAAUAGCAACAGAUUCUUUAAUGAGCACACCUGUCGAACAAAUUAAUAUUAGACGAAUUAGUAUUACCUUUGCUACAAAUGACAUUAAACUGAAUGUAACUAUUUAAGGUAACAUCAGACAAGCUAAAUUAGACUUCUACAGGAAUAUUCAUGUUAUUUCUGUCCUCAAUCUGCUCUCAUUGGUGAUACAUAAAUAAAGACCGAUGAGAUAUUUCAGACUUAAACACUAGGAAAUCCGUGAUACCAAUUUCUGAUUGAUAUAUUGAACAAUUUUGACAGAAAGACAGAAAAUGACUAAAAUGUUCUUUGGUCUUAUUCGGUGAAAAGAUUCAUCUGGUUGAUUCUGCCACCUUCACCCCUUUUUUGGGGAAGUGUGGUGAGGAGGAGGCCAGAAUACAUGAUCCUUUAUAAAUGACGUAUCUGCGCCACUAACUGAGACCAAGUGGCAUCUCUGUGUCUGAAUCUAUCACUGCACCAUAAGUGAGCGCACAGACAAGGGUUUAGAUAGAGAGCAAAUAAGUCCUCUCAAGACUGAGUGGGAAUGAGCUAAAAUCAUUAGAGGUUCAAAAUCAGCUGUACAUAAGCUACAGGACAUGACUUAGUUGCUGCAGACAGCAUACAGCCUCCAACACCUCCCAUUAGCAUGCAUUGUAGCAACACAUUAGAGAGAAAGUGUGAACCCUCAGUCAGCAAUUAUCCCAAUUAACUCAUUCAUGUCUAAACUGCAUUAUAGCUGCCUCAUUAUCCAAAUUGUUGGAUGCAAAUUGUUGUCCUUGCCUUAGAGGAGAUAAUUUCCCCAUUAUGCUAGCUUGCUAAAGUGAUGGCUAACGCACUCUGCCAAAAUAUCCAUGUCUCUUCUCAAAAAAGCUGGAAAACACACUGUCUGAUAAUACAAACAGAUGCCACAAGAAAGGCACAACAUCCUAAACAUCAGUUAUACACAAUUCACUUGAUUUUCCUUCUCAUGAGAUUGAAAGAGGUCGCAAAUGAGUCAGUGGAAAGAUAUCAAUAGCAGGAAAUAACACGACUCAGUGCACUGUAAUUAGAGAUUCAGUGAGAUGAAAAGCCAAGAUUCGCUCUUUGACACAGGUCACCCACAGUGAGACACAAAUACUAUCUAAAUGUCAUCAGGCAUACUGUAGCUGCAGAAUGUGCGAAGUGAAUUCAUUAUUUUCAUCUGUUUUCAUCUCUGCGCCAUCAUAUCCCCAUCAAAGGAGUGUGAAAGAGAGAAAUUAGAAAGUAAAGUUAAAAGUCAGAGCCGAGGAAAGUGUUCGAAAUCAAGCUCUCCGAAACAGUCCAAUAUUAAUUUAUCCAAACAGAUUUCUCUGAUGAUCAAAUGAGACAAUCUCUUUAUUACAUAUGACGAACUAUUAGAUUGAAAACUAUCUCCAGCAUCAUCUCUCAUUCCUGGACUUGCUAGCUGAAGCUAUCAGCGCACAGAUCAGUAAUUACUGCAGGUUGUCAACAAUUUAUCACAGAGCUCCCAAGGGGCCCAGCAACAGAGGCAGUAUGUGAUUGCACACGUGCACGCUCACGCACAUAAAAAUGUAAUCACCGGCACGUGGAUGCGCACAGAGCUGCCUGCAUGCACUGCGCCCCAAAGACACACAGGUGUCAGUGUGACAGAACAUUACUCCCCUGUCCUCCAUGAUAACUCUUAGUGCCUUGGGAACAGUUUUGCAUGGCUCUUGUAAACACCCAUUAACAGGAAUUCAUUUACGGUAUUGUCUGUGGAGUGGCCAGGAAAUUAGUUUCUAUAAAUAUCAUGUUUUGUUCUUUAUUCUUUCACAGGUAAACAAACCCCUCUCCUCAGAGCUGUGCAACAUUAGUAUAGAGACCAAUUAAACAAAUAAAAUUUGGAAUUUCGCCACAUUUUUUUUUCUACGGAUGCAUUAAUGUUAAGAGAGAGUAACAUCAAGCUAAGCUUUUUACACUCUGUGAAAAAAAACAGUUGUCCAUUUGUCGGCAGGUUGUCAAAAUAAUUCUGUUAUUGACGUCGAACAACACGACGAUCCAUCAUCAAACAGCUAAGGUCACAUUGUAAGUCAUAUCUUGUGCAGCUUACACACACACACAUGAAACUCUACACUGACACAUGCGCAUAAACCCUCUCUCGCCGUACUGUUAAAUCUGAUUUAUGAAAAGUGACAACAGCAUCAGUGUUUUUAAUUAUUAAUAGGAGCGAGUGUGUGGAAGUCAUCUCUCAAUCCUCCCACAAAGGUAAUGGGGUUAUUUGUUGUGGUGGAGGCUUUUACACCUUGAUUCAUUUGACAGCCGUCCCCUGUGUCAAGUGGAACAGCAACGGCGGGUGGAUAAGGAGGCCAUUCCCUGUGAUCCGGUGACAUUGACCCGUCUUACUGGAAAGCAUGUGCACUCACACGCAUGCACUAUUGCACAUUCACAACCACAAACCGCACACACGCGUUUACACCCAUUUAAUCUCGCACUGUGUGCUACCAGCCCUCUUAUUGGGGAAGUGACACGAUUACAGGAGCUGAAGGUGAAGAAGUGACCUCUCUUUAAAUUGCACUUCAGCUGAACUGAAUAAAAAAACACAUUAAGAGGUUAAAUGAAAAGGUUAAGUGAUCUCCCUCACACUGAAACAACCUUCCAUAAAAGCCGAAUGUCAACACUCUUUUAAUUUCAUGUUUAUUCAGUCUUUAAAACGUUACAGUCAAUGUAGUUUCCUUUCUUUGUACACUGUGUUUAUCAUUCCAGGCAUCUGUCAGGCUGCACAGCGCUUCAAUCUGUGCUAAUUACAACCCCACUGUGAAGGUGCACUGUACUCCAAAACCUUUCCACUGCUCCUCUUUCAGGGCUGCAGGAGCUCAGAACAAAUUAGUCUAAUAGCUGAAAAGUGCUUUCUAAGCAGUGACAGGGGUCAACUAGCUGGAAACACGCUCAGGUACGCCGGACAAGGACAAAGCAGAAUAUGGUUGUGAAUAUGCCUGGAAGGUGUAUGUGAACAGUAGGCAAUCAAAGACUGCUCAACAACCCAGGGAUAAACUGUGCUGCACAUAUGAAUGGAAAUUGACAAAACUUAUUGAUCCCAGUGCCAUUAUCAAUUCAGCUUAUUGAUCCUAUUCUUUAUCAAUUCCUGUGGACUUUCUGUGUGCAAAAACUGCCCUUCAAAGGUUUUCAGUGUCAACAACACAAAUGUUAUUAUGCUCUGCUGAAACACCAAUGUCUGUCUUAUAAAUGGACCUGAUUGCACAUACAGCCUCUGAUUGGUUGACAGACCAAAACAAUGAUUGCAACCUUUAUCUAGCAAAGUCAAUUAACAUCACAAUUGACGUUUCUUUAUCAAAAUUGAAACAUAAAUCAUGUCGAGUAUAUGAUAGCUAAAAAAUAACAUUAUUUAUAGUGAAGUGUCUGACUCAUAGCUGCAGAGGUGUUGCUAAACCUGCUAGUACAUCUGUGUUAGAUGAUGGUGGGUCCUCAGUUAUAAGAAACAGCAAUGUAUUUACUAAACAUAUCUAUGGCCACAUAUGCGUCUCAUUUGUUUGUUUCUUUUCUGGUCAUCUACCUUGAUGUUUAUGCUUCCUGGUUACUGCCAGUAAAGUGUUCCUGAUGUCUCAAUAAACCCACACUUAUAGCACAGUGUCGGAUGUGUGUUUAUUAGCUUGGUCGAAGCAUUACUUGUAUGCAGGUUUUGCACUUAUAAAUAAAGAUAAAAUAAGAAUAAAGCAAGAGACAGUGUUUAAAAAUUUAAAAGUUUGCUUUACUUCAAGUGCAAAAGUUAUGUUGCUUGUAGCCUAUGUCAUGUGUUUUUCUGUUCCUCUGAACUGCUGGUUACAACAGACUUGGCAUGAACCUGAUCUGCCAUCUCAUCAGGACAUUGUUAAAGAACAUGUCAACCCAGGAGCUCCAAUCGCAAGCCUGUGUCACCGCCAUCUUUUGUGUUCCUUCAAAAACAGCUGAUUUCUCUUCCCAAAGACAAAAGCACCCCGAUGAAGUAGGACAGUUUUAGACAACAGCUAUAAUACCUGUUUCUAUUUGCUACUUCACUGAUGAUAUCCAAAGACCGGUACAAACUGGAUUUGCAUCUUGACUGUUACCAAGCUUUUCCAUCUAUGAAGAUUUUAUAUGAAGCCUCAGAACUGCAAGCUGCAAGCAAGGUAUCAAUAGUGAACAAAGAGCCUAUGCACUAACAGCUAGCCUCAAACCCUUGCUGUGAAGGUUUUACUUUUAAGUCUUUUAUGACCCUGAAAGGGUGUGAAAUGUAACACCCAGACAUGUCUUAAUUUAUAUCAAUGAAAUCAAAAUGGACUACUUCAGCAGAAAAGAGGGCUUUCAUUGAUCUCAGUAUAAGAUAAAUAAGGAACAUCUUGAGUCACUUGUUCAAGGUCAAGACUCACAAAAUAAAACUUAAAAAUGAGCAUUAAAGGUCUCCUCCAUUCUUUCCUAAUUACCUUGGUGAUGAAUUGUAAAAUCAGUGAGUUAACAAUAUUCAUCAGCAGCUGCAAGCUUAACUUAACUAUUCCCUCUACAUUAAUUUUUUUCAAACCUAUCUUAAUAAUGGUAUCUGAAAGUCAUUUAAGCUUAAAAUUCCUAUUUCCAGGGUGUAACUACAUCAACACAAACAAAGUAAACUGUGGAAAAGUAACCAGGAAUUCCAUCUCUGCCUGUCUAAGAUCACAGUGCUAUCUAUUUGUUCAUCCCUGUGUCUGCAUCAGCAAACCAAAUUAAAACUCAUAUCUUUGUGCUCCAGGCUUCGCAAUAUUAUUUUCAAUCAGCGAGAGAUUUAUUCAGCAGUGCAUGACUAGCGAUCUUUUAUAUCUAUAAACGGUGAGACUCCAUUAGCAGCAUGGGAGGGUACCAACGGGACAAGAUUAACCAUUCAUUUUACAGUUAUUUUUACAGUAUAUUCAUAUUUAUCUCACCUGCAGGCCAUUCUCUGCCAAAGACAUCGUUUCUGUUCUGCAACCAUCAAGCCACAAAAAUAUCUCACUCGGAAAAGAUAAUAAUAUUAAGGUUUUAUUUAAGUUAUACACUUUUAAUGGCGUGCAUAUUACAGACAAACUAUGCGACCCGUUGUUAAUUCUCCUGAUGUUAUCAUGCAGACAGGAUUUGAAAAGAGACAUGGCAUGAAACCAUCAGUCUGAUGCACCUGCUGGAUGUAAACUGAGUGAUAGAUGAUGGUAAGAUCAAGAAAGUCUGAUACUAGAACUUUUUCCUUUCUUUGACUUGCUGCAAAUAAGUGAUAUUUUUUGCUUAAAGACCCUCUCUGAUGAAAAUCAUGUUUUUCUUGUUUUUUGUAUGUUCAUAUGGCACUUUUUUGAUGCUACAAGACAUAUCAUGAGAAAAAUAAAUGCAAAAUUGCUUUUCUGUGCAUUUCUUCAUUCAAAUUGCUGUGAAUCGUUGGCAGACCACAAUGGCAGGUUCAGAAACAGAGAGAUUUCAUAUGUAAUCAAUCCAAGUUCCGCCCCCGGAGCCCGGAUAUGCAGGCCACACUUUGCAUAUAGAGGAGAAAUAGAGAGGACGACCGCAGAACAAGAGUGUGCAUUAGCGGAUUGCAAUGCUUGUAAAAGAGCUAAUUAGGAUUUUAACAUUUAACAUCAUCCUGAAAGACAUUAGUGACAUUAGAGCUGAAUAGCUCCUUUGUUACCUGACCCUUCUACUACACCGGCAAUGUUAGGCUGUAAGCUAGCAUGAAGAGGACUGUGCAGAGCAGCGCUGUCUCCGCCCACGAUUUAGAGGCAAAUUGCUAAUGAGCUCUGCAGAAGAAAAGCCCUUGAAAAUGAUACAGGUAAUGUGAUUUUUGGUAAAAACAUCAUAAUCACAAUUUAAAGACCACUGAGAAAACUUUAAGUAGUAAAAAAAACAAUCAAAGUGGGACGUCAAAUCAUCAGAUCAGUCAUCCAACUUCUACUCACAAAUGUAAUUGUUGCGGCGACUGCCAUGCCCUGACGUCACAAAGAGAUGGCCACUGUGGCUUUUCUGGUUAAUAUCAAUGAUUUGCCUAUUGUAUCCAUUUGUUAAGAAAACUGUGGAUUGUUUAUUCACCUCUCUACCACACAUUACUUUUCAUUAACUGCUUUAAAUCCACCUGACUGAAAAAGAAAUACUUUGAAGUCCCUUUUGCUUCAUUUCUUAUGCCAUUAUGACUGUAAAUACAUUCAUUUGAACAAAAACAUCAGUCACCUGUUGGCCCUACGGUUUUAGUUUUGGCUGCAAUAAUAGGCGUCAGUGCCAGUGCUGAUAUUUACUGCAGGUCCUUUAACUCUGGCAUCCCCUCAUUAUUUCCACCUUUUCCCUCUUCACACUCAUCUCUCUGUGCCUAAAAAGUCAGCAGGUCUUUUUUCAUCUGCAAAUGCCACCAUGAGCUGUAUUGUCACCAGCUGGUCCUAUUUUCUCUGCAUUUUUUUUCCUCACCCCCAUCUUUUCCUCUGCUUCUCAUGGCGCUGCUUUGACAGUGAGAAUUAUACAGCAGGUCAGGACUAAUGAGUGGGUCUGGAACAUUUUCUCAUAUUUAUCCAGAUGAACCUGCUGAUCUUGCGCCUCUCUAACCUCCUCUCUUAUGCAGUUUGUUGUUUUCAGUUUCCUCGUGGUGCUUUCUUUCUUGAGUUCAAACUGCCACAGAUUUAAAAUUCAGACUUUUGAUUUCCAAAUAAAAAAGUUUGGGAGGUUAUAAGUUGCAGUGAUAAGAUCCUGGAGACUCAUUUGGGCUCUGAGACCAGCCUGGGACCUAUUUUAGCAUUUCUUUGGUCCCCACUUAUUUCUGCAACGAUCAAGUUAAAGUUUAAAAGGACACGCUGCCUGGUGGUAAAUAAUAGAUAGCAUAUUUGAGUUUUUAAGCCUUCUUCAGUACUUUUUUCUGUCUUGCUGACCCACUUUGAAAGACCUACAAACCCCUUUUUCCCCUCCAAUGAACAACACCGUUGUCUUUACCGACAGUCUUGUGGAAAAGACAUUCAUUGACUUUUCUAAAUAUGGUACAUAACUGGCCUAAUAUGGAAAUCCUUACACUUGGGGCAACAGAAUGAGAUUUGCGCUGCAAGUCAACACUGUUUCUUGUAAUGGAGGAUAUGUCUUUCCACAUCUCUGGCAGACAAAGAGAUUUGCUUUCGUUGAAAAAUCUUUCCCGACCUUGUUCCAAACCCAUUUGGGGUUGUAAAUUCGCCAUGCUCCGCUCUCAGAAGUCAAAUUUACCCCAAACUCCCUUGAUAAUUCCUUCCGAUCCAUUACCCUGCAUGCUGAUAUGUUGUGUUGUUUGUAACUGCCGCACAGCUGCGUUAACUCCAAAACAUACAAUCAAGCAAAGGCAGACCGAGCAGACAAGGAGGAAUUUAUUCAGUAAACAGGCUUUUUUUAUUUGAUUUCCUGUUGUGCCGCCGCAUACAGUAACAGAAAAGCGGUAUUGUGUUCAUUAGUUUGUGUGCAUUAGCGGAGGGAUCUAAUGGUUUAUGCAUACGAGGCCAACAGCGGAGGGCUCUUGUGAUUUAGGAUGAUGCUCGUUUUAUGGAAAUCAAAGCAAGAAAUAAGAACAGUUCUUGUAAUGCACAGAUGCUUCCCCUCCUCCUGGUGUUCUCUCCCACACUUGUCUGUCAAGACUCCCCCACUCCUCCCCCUCACCCUCUUUCCCUUCGAUUUUUCUCCUUCACCUUCCCACCAUCCCCUUCUCUUGUUACUGUCAGAACACAUUAGGAUGUUACUAACGAGUGACUUAAAUUAGGAUCCCUGCAGUCCUCUCCAGGUGUGGGUAAUGAGGUGAGAAGACAGGAGAUUGGGGCUCCUCCUCCGUUCUUUCAUUCACUAAACAAGAAAGAAAGAUGGUUAAGUUUGGACGGGCAACACAUCAAAAUAUUACCCCUGUGUACUCUUAUGUUGCGGUGGUAAUAAUACACACAAAUGAGAGUGAACACACAUUUUUCUGCACAAGACUGAACACAUCACAACCCUGACGGUGUUCGCUUUCGUGGCAAAUGCUACUUUUGAUGCACCGCUGUGGAUUUAUAGAAACCAGAAGUGAAAUGCACAAGCGCAGACAAGCUUAAUGAUAUGGAAAUUGAAGCCGUAAGUUCAUGAAAUGCAGUAGUGAGCUCUCCUCUCAAGGCCAUCGGCUAGAUCUGAACUCCAGCAGCUGAUGGGCUGUGAUCUGUUAUCGUCCCUGUGGCCUGGCCUCUCACAGACAGGCCAAAUAGGUGGUCUCCCUCCACUGGAGGUGGAAAUGAAUCUGGCCUCAGAUCCCUGCUCUUUUCUGCUCCCUCUAACACCCAGCUUGUCUCCCCCGUCUACCUAUCUAGGCCAUCUCACUUUGUUUGACGUGACCGGUGUGAGCAGCAGUUAUACGUGUGUGUGUGUCUGUAUGUGUGUGUGUGUUAAAGCCUCAACUUUUCCAAAGUACAGAAUGAUCAAUCCCAGCAAGAUUUUAUUUUAAAAGAAUUACCUUCGAUUCUUUCUCCUGCUGAUUUGAAGCUCUGAAGCAGCAGAGUCAGCGAAACACUCAGGGUCUCACAUUUUUCGCACUCUUCAUCACUGUCCAUCAAGCUGCCAUCCUUUUUUCAGCACCAACAGAGGCCUUGACAGAGUGACAUAGUCAAAAAUAAUGGCCAUCUGCCUUGCAUGAAAGUUUUGUAAUCUGAUUAGCAUCGUUCUUCGCUGCCUCAGCAUGUUUCUGGUUCAGGGGCUUUCACUGUUUGAGUUACAGAGGAGAAGCAGAGGCACCGACCGAGAGUUUCCAUAUAUACAUGUAAUAAGGUUCACUGGUUGUCUUGUCUGUCUGUGGGGUUGUAAAGCUGUCACUCCAGGCAGUUACACGGCUUCUUCUCUCAGCCUCUGCGCUCUUUUAUUAAACCUUUACAGGGGGAAAGCUGUGCAAGGAUAAUAAUGUUAAGGCUCACAGUGGUAUAGGUGUGUGGCUGCAGAGAGUCAAGAUUACUCAAAUAUGCAUUAGCGUUCAGCUUUUCAGGUCUCUCUAUAUAUAUCGUGUCUGUGUUAGCAUUAUUGAAUCGCAAAUAUUGUGUCAAGGAAGAAGCCAAUUAAGCCAGAGCACUUAUGAAAGGUUACAGAAGAAAAAGUGAGAUUUUGAAGAAUAAAGCUGCAACUUUCAUAAGAAAAAUGCCAGGAUUUUAUCUGACUGUAAGCCAGUAUAUUAUUCAGAUAGAGGGAGGAUUUGAAGUGAAGCACAAAAAUAAAGAACUUGCAAAACAUAGUGAAAAACUUACUAACGUUUCAGUUUACAGGUUACUGAGAGUCCGAUCUUCAGCACAUCAGCACCAUGUUGGGACAGGGAUCAGGAUUCUGAGUCGAUCAUGGAGGAAACGAGUCUCAAAUGAAGAAGGGCAGGCUAAUGGGCAGCCCCUGUACACUGCUGCUACUACUACUCUGUGAGAACUACUCUACAGUAAGACACAGAAAGAUAACCCCUAAGGUGACUCCUCCUGUAGUAUCCCCCUUACACAUAAUAUUACUUACAUAUUAAUCACAGCCUUAAAGAAUGAAUAUUUUCAUAAACUUACAGCUUUAUUCUCAUAAAAUGAUUUUAUUGUAGAAAAAUUUAGGGCAUUAUUUUUUCAAAUUAAAGGCUUUAAUCACUAAGUCUAUUAGAAUAAUAUUUAUAUUUACAUCUUUGAGUAAUUUUAUGAGUAAAACUGCAACUCUUUGCUUGAAAUAUUACAUCUUCAUUCUUAAAUCCCGGUAGCCUUAAUUCUGCAUUGCAGCCCAUAAAGCAAAAACAUAUUUAUUUCCAAUAGCUUUAGUGCUUUCACACUCAUACGUCAUGAUGCUGUCAGUUAGUCAAUAUCUGUCAAAAAGUCAAUAUCUGUGUCCCAAUUCAGGGGAAGGAUCCUCCAAAUUCUUGCAUAUAGACUAGAUAACCCAGACAGGACUAAAUGAAACAUUCAUUGCAGUGAAUUGGUCCAUUUUGGUCAAAAUUAACUAAAGUUAUUUUGAAACUUGUCAAAAGUUUGAUUUUCCUUUCUUUAACAAAUGUGUUUUGCAAGAGGCCAUGCUCUGUGGCAGCUGGGGGUCCUCUCUAUACUGCUCCAGUGUUGUGCUGAAGUCCUACACGGAUUAAAUCAGCAAUACAUCAUUAUGACUACAAGAUGUACAUACACACACGAAUCACCAAGGCUAUUAUUAACAGUACGGCUGCUCACACAGACUGCACAACCCAGCAAUAAUAAAUGCUCAGCAGCAGCACAAAAUCCUCAGAGGAUGCUAGUUUUAACCCCCCACACACAUGCACACAUACACAGUUAGCUUAUGUGUCCGACCACACAGACACUACCUCCCUGACUGUUGUGCAGAAACACAACUUCAACAGGUUUGCCAAAACCCAGACAAGUUUUACACUACACUGUAGUUUCCCUGUAAGUGUGAUUGAAGUGAGCAACAACUCUGAAUUAGCCGGACAAUUAGCAAUACUGCUAGCUAGCCUUGCCUCAUAUCAGGCCCUUAAUACAGAGCUCAGUUAGCCCUGCUGCUUCUUUAAUGUUCAUGUCCAUGCACUACUCAAAAAAAUUUGGUUUCAUACAGAGUUCAUGUAAAGGUUAAUGUUACUUAUUUACAGUUAGCGCCCUCUGGAGCCCGGAUCCCUUCUGUUGUAGCUUAUCCUGAGCAUGUGUUUCCCAUAUUUGUUUAUUUUCUAGCAUAUUUUUAACGCAUUUGUUUUUAGCUUUUUUAUUUUCAGCAUAAUAUUUCAUUUCAGCAUUUUCAUUUUUUGCUUUGUUAAAUUUGUCUUUGCACGUGUAAAAGAAGAAGCAUUGCCCCUGAAUAUGCAGCAUGUUUCUCCAGCUGAAUUUCGCUCAGGCUGUUGUAGGUUGUUUAGCCUUGCCAGCCUCUGAGGAGAUAAGAUGAGGUUACAAAAGAAAUCCAGCUUUUAGGGUGCUUCAAAGAGAGUACUGCCAAGAACAACUUCUGCAAAAACAACCGCACAGUUUUCUCCCUUUUGGGUGGGCCAAAAAAAAUAAAAAAUAGCAGGUCUCUUGUGCACACGUCUAUGAUCUCCACAAUCAAGGCAAAGUUUGAAGAUCUGUGCUGACAAAAUAAAUGUGACAAAUUACAACAAGAUCCAUCACACACUACAGGACAAGCUGUCUCCUGAGUCUCAGUGGAUGCUUAUUGGACAGCUUGGAUGAGCUCCAGCACGUUGUUGUGCUGCAGAUUGGUCCCCAGCAGCACCUGGUGCUUUGUCUCUGCUUUAAACAGCUUCCGCCUCCAUCGCUGGCUCCCUUCCUGACACAAAACUCCCCCAUGGAAAAGAAAGAAGUGAAUUGGUGUCUGCCUCCCUCUCAGGUACAUCCUUCAUCCCCCUCCUACCUUCUACUCCCCUACUCCCUCCUCUCUUGACUGCAAUCCGCUGCCCACUCAAGCAGCUGUCAAGGUGAGGCGGUUUUACAUGGUGAGGCUCCAAUGCCCUUGUCCAAUUUCACUUUGGAGUGAAGCUGGGCUGAACAUGCCAAUCCUGAUAUUACCAAACAAAUUAAAUCACGCGGUUGGGCGCAGAGGAGAGAGAGAGAGUGCUGAGGAUGCUGAGAUGGAUGGGAGGAGGGAGGGAGGGAGGGAGGGAGGAGAACAGUUGUCAACCCUGCCGAGCAGCUCUCUGCCUGCUCUGAUCAGGACAUCCGAGGAGGAGAAGCAUUAAUUGGCUCGGGAUGGAGGGCAGCACUGAUGGGAGACAGCUCUGCUGCUGUCGGCCAUGUCCAGGACAAAGCCAUGAUGGCGGGCAAUUAAAGGCCUUAUUAGAAAUGAAGCAGCCGCGGGAGCUGCAGGUGAAGUGACAACCCCCCUGUCACACUGGCAGAAAAACAUCUUUCUGAUUUGGGUGGUGUAAGUUUACAUCCCUGAAGAUGUUUGUUGUUUUUGUGGUCUAUUUUACCUUUAAGUAUAUCUUAAAAAUUGGGGUCAAGAUGCAGUCGAGGUUUCCAUUUUGGUAUUUUACAGCCAAUCAGCCUGUAAUAAUGGUAAAACCUUAUCAUGCAUUACUGAUGACUCAUACUGGUGGGUGUACGCAAACAAACAGCACUGGUGUACAGAGAUGCCGUGACCCUUUGCGCUCUAUGAAUCAGACAAUCUCUUUUUGUUCAUUUGCACAGGUUUAGUGUGCUCAAAAGAUGCACAAUCCUUUGUAAACAAGGCCUUUACUUAUGAUUAAAUAUGAACAAGAGUCAGACAGAGAGAGUUUGAUAGAGAAGUCGCAUCUACUGCAAGCCUGCUUCAUAUAUUAUAUAAGGCCUAGCACCUUCUGCAGUAAAGGCAAAUAGGAUUUAUAAUUGAAGACUUAAUUCUGCAGCCUCAUUACUCAUUGAAAACAAAAAUAUAAUGACAUUUAGCAAAUUUAAUUAUUUUAGUUGAACAAAGCAAAGCCAAGGUUUAAAGGUAUGUGGUCUUAAAGCCUCAAGAAUGGCUUCAUUGUAAGUCUAAGUGAAAAGCACUUAAAACCAAGCAAUAAUCUGAAGUCUUAACUGAUAAUGAGGCUAAAUUUAGAGUCACAAUCUAAUCCUGGUUUCAUCCUCUGGAGAGCAUGAAUUUCUGCUGGACUUAAUAGAAAACUACUUCACUGUUUUUAGGGAGUGUCUCUUAAAUAUCAACCAAAAUUGUCAACCUAACCGGCAUUGACUGUAGGUUCAAUGGGGUUCACGCUCCUGUAUUAUUAUAAUUGUGUGGUAUCUGAAUGGCAGUCCAUUUUAAAGCUUUUCUUUCUGAAUCAAAGUGGCACACCACUUAGCCAAAAUUAGAGCAGCUGUAGCCAAAUCUAAGAGAUUAUAUUAAAUGCAGAGCUAAUCAAAGAAAACUUUAGUGGAACAAUCACGCAACUUUUGUACCAUAUUGUUUAAACUGAAUAGAUAUACAGGGGGGUUUAGUACUCGAAAAGCAGAGCCGAUAAUUUCCCCACCAACAGGGUUUUUAAUGGAGGAAGCAGAAUUUCCUGACUCCAACUGCUGCUUUCCGUUUGACACAUCUAAUAAGGAGCGAUUUAGACCUGGAACUUUCAGGUGAGUGCGGUUGUUAGCAGACUGAACAACAGAAUUCAAUGCAAUCAGGCAGCAUUUGGAAUAACAAUAGACCUACUUUUUCUAGGCUGACUCAUAAAGUGCUACCUAUAACCAUCAGAAGCCCUUUUCUAAAGUUACAUACAUGACGCCAAAGUCCAUACAAAAGGUCAAGGCAUAGUUAGCUGUUGUUGAAAGUGAUUAAAUCUUCAGAUGAAGCAGAAAGGGCAGACUGGGAAAAAGCCGGGGCAUCAGAAAUUAAUUAUAACACUUCCUCACAAUGAAGGAACGGUUUGAUCAUAGCAGUAAGAGGAUCAGGCGGCUGAAUUUCCUUCAUAUAAAACGGGUUCACUCCGAGGUAUAUCUGCUGGCAAAUAUGACUUAUUCUCUCUGCUUGUUCAUUUUACUCACAAAGCUGUGAAAUUUAAUUCAUCACCUGGGAAGGAUACCUGAAUGAGUCCUAUCUUGAGGAUCUGUGUGGAAAGCACUUACAGUUUGAAGAUUUUUUUCGUUAUAACAGUGUUCAUUGCCAUUAAAGCUAACGUGAAAAUAUGAAAGUUAAUGUGGUCAUGAGUCAGAUAUGAGCGUCUAUUCAGGAGGAAGACGUACUUCUGAAUCCUCCCUCUACAGGCUUAUUUCUGAUAAAAGAUUUAGCUGUAAAUUACAAUAUGGGGUUUACAGUAAUGUACAAAAGAGAAACAACUCAAUCACCUGACGAUUGGAUUGAUUUCUGCACAGUGUCAAAUUAAGAGUCCUCAAUAUAUAUAGAUAUAUAAUACUCACAGAGCCUUUGUCAAAUUACAAACAAGUCUGAACGGGAACCUUGUUUGGAUUUUGAGGCUAAACGACCUCAUACAGGCUUAAAAAAGAGUUGGGUAGCCUCCUGACUGACUUCCUUGAUCGUUCAAAAUCAAACCCCCAUACUGAAAACCGACCUGCUGUUUGGGAGGCCUCCUUUGUUCUCUCCCAGCAAAAACAUUGACCACAGGCAGCACAUUUCCAGAUCUGUAACCCUGAAUCAAUGUAUGCAGCGGGGGCGGAGAGCUUCACACCCAGCUCUACCGCACAAGAAUUGAUUGCUGGAGCGCUGUGUUUUGCUAAAUAGUGUUUGACAUCAGGAAUCAUGUGAACACCACUCAGCUGGCCACUUGAGUGAUUAGAACAAUGGUUGAUUAAAGUAGGAAAUAAGCCUGGAUUUUAGUCCAGAGUCAGUGAAGAACGGAAAAGAAGCAGUAAUGUUACCUUAACGGCAUUCAAAGGAACAGGUAAAGCAAAUAGAAGAUUAAUAACAGAAUCAAAUGUUACAUUUAAAGCUCCUAUGAGGAGUUUUGGGAUGUUUAUGAAGAAGAGUGAAAUACAUUAUGAUGCCUACUCGUGAUACCCAAUAUCAACAAGAUUGGCAAUUUUUAUAUCCUAAUUGAUAAUGCCUGAAACAGGAGCAGGCUAAGUAGCUUCAAGAAAAUUUCCACAUAAAAUAUUCACAAGAAAUGACAUGUUUGACCGUCAAAAGUCACUACUGAAGCAUGAAGAGGACCAGAAUAGCAAAGACUUUUUUUAUGGGGGAGGUGCCAAAAAUAUUUAGUUUAUUCUGUUCACUUUUAGGUUUUCUGUUGAACGACUGGAGUCUCAGUGAGCCUUAUCCUUGUCUACAUUUUCUACUACUUAACUGAAUAUAGAGCGAUGCAUCCCCCAAACAUGGCUGAAUGAUACAUAUUAUGACAAAAUGAAAACAGUUUGAUGUAAUUAUACUGUAAGCAAAAAUGUAUAACUGAGUCUUCAUUACAAUUCCUAUUUUUCUUUUUCUCUCUGUAUCCAGAUGUGUUAAACAAAGUUGCAACUUUGAGAUGACACUGUUGCAAAAGUGCUGAAAACUGCAGUUCCUCAAGUGUCCUCUUGGCGGGUUGCUGCAAAAGCACAGGGAGCCAUACACACUUAUUCAAAAAAGCCCAUUUUUACAAAGAAAGAAAGAAAGAAAGAAAAACAGAGCCUAAUUCUAUUUUUUUUUUUUUUUUUUUGGUACAGAGUAAUUAUUUAUGUAUUGUAAUUGUUAAGAUAAGUGAGUGUAGUGAUUAUUUCUUAUAGCCCUUAUACCAUUUGGAAGACUUCAGAAAGUAUAAAAAAUACAGUCAUUUGUGCUGCUCCGUUCUUGAGGUUUGUGAAGUACUUGAAGUCACCAAAACAAAAACAAAUGUCCUAAAUAUUAAUUUGAGAGACAACGCUGAAUCCAAAAACACUGUGUUCACUGAGUAUAUAUAUAUAAUGUUUAGAACUUGCAGUGUGAAAUAACCCUGACCAGCAAUUCAUACACUCUUACAUAAAUAACCACUUCAGCAAAACAAUGCCAAGAGUGCUUCAUAAUUAACAACCCUUUACUGCUCCACACUCUAGUAAAGCUGAUAGUGCUAACUGGUUUUAAACAACAAUGUAGUCAAAGGCUUAAUUUAAUUUUAAUCAAGAUCACAAUUUUGGUCCUCGCACAAUCAAAUAAACAUGAUUAAUGGAAAUUAUUGACUUCGAAUGCAUGCUAGCUCUACCCACAGAAACUCUAUAUGGUCGAUGAUUCAACAAUGCUAUUUAAUUAAACUUUGUUUUGAAGCACUUUUUAUACAACAGUAAGAUAACACAAAGUGAUUCUUGGAAUGAAAACAGAUUUUAAUAGUGAGGGAUCGACCUCAUCCCAGCCUCCCAAUCCACAUACAAAGAAAUUAACAUGUUUUGAGAUAUGAGGUACUUAAUACAAGCAGGAGCUGAAAAAAGAACGAAAAAAUGAAGAAUCUGAGGAAACAAUCACAAGAUCUUAACAGGCAAACACUGGAUGUAGAGUAAAAUGUUAAACUUCAAUAUAGGAUGGUGACACUGCCAAAGAACAAGAUAAAAUAAUCAAAGAUUACUCUUGUAAAAGAACAUUAAAACAGGAUAUCAUUACAGUUGGCAUUGGCCCACGCGGCCAAUAGGGGGCCCCCAAGAGGAAUAAAUAUAUAUAUAUAUAUAUAUAUAUAUAUAUAUAUAUAUAUAUAUAUAUAUUAUUGCAUGUAUGAGUGAUGCUUUCUGUGUGAUCAAAAAUAUAUAUUAUUGUAAAAAAUAAAAUACAAUAAAGUAAAAACAUUUUAGUGCUGCUGCUGAUGUGGGCCUAUGAUUCUUACUGCUGAUAUGUCAAAGCUCCACUACCAUUAUAUGCCUUCUGCUGUGCAAUGUGCACUGAGCAUCCAAAGAGCAGGUAGUUGUGGGGCAAAACAAUGUCGCAAAAAAGGACAUAUCCUUCAGGAGCAGAGAAAAGAAAGAGGAAGAAGAUAAAAACGCCAAGAUAAAGGUAUGUUAAAGAAAGGUAUGCGAAUGAUCAACAAUCUAUUAUUGGCAGAAAUAGAGGGCACCAAAAUCAAAUUUUGCUUCGGGCCCCACUGAGGCUUGGGGUGGCUCAGUAUCUAAAUGGUUCAAAACUAAGAGUGAAGAACAUCUGCAACAAAGCAAGCAGAGGGGUUAGAUGUGUGUUAGUAAUGCAGAGGGGCCGAGUGAGCACAGAGAAUGAAGUUACAUCAAUAAUGUUUAAGUAAGCAUUAAUAAGUUAGCAAGUACAUGUCUGAACAGUACUUUUUAAUAUCACAAUCAUACUUAGUUUUCCACUGCAAGUCUGGGGGAGAUUGCUGAGGGGCGGUCCCGCUCUAGAAAAUUUGCUACACAGCUUCUCACAGUUCCUUUUUGCGUUGGAGCCAAACAAAAUAUAUUGGAAUCAGCAUGCCAGUUGUUGACGUGCAGCUGCAUCACUCUUGACAGGAGAAAAAAAAACAGUGACUUUGAUUGCUUCCCAUACUGCAGUGUACAGCUUGGGCAAUUAAAAUCAUAAUGGCAGAUUUUUUAGAUGACAAACUAAUGAGCUCAACUCCUCUGAGUGAAAAUGUCAUUAGAAGUCCUGAUGGAGCUCCUUCACUGAGAAACAAAACAAACCCUCAGCUACUCCAUACGAGAUGUGCAGCUUCUAAGACCACAGAUCGACACACAAUUGUUUUUUGAUUAAUUCUGUUUGUUUACACAGAGAUACAAAGAGCCGUCUCCCUCUGCUGCGAUACAUGUCUGAUACAAUGUGAUGUGUAAUUGGAUGCUGGUUGUGAAAACACAAAAAUGGGAGUAGAUGGCAUGAUGAAGUAUGAGAGGACGGGGGAAAAAAAGGAGUGUGCUGCUCCUAAAAUAUUUUUCUUCAACUGUGUUUCUGUGAUUCAGCUCAGUUGGAAUGAUCUGUAUAUGUGUCUCUUGUUAGUUUUCAUUACACUCUCUUGGGAAAUGUGACAGCUUAGUUGUCACAUAAACCAAACAGACACUUUCUGAAAAGUCUUCCUCCUCUAAGCUCUUCUCUCUCCCCUUCCUCUCCUUCUCCUCCUCCUCCUUGGGGGAUGAGGAUCAUUGGAGGGGGAAGAUUUCAUCAUCGGGCCCUGCCAGGAUCUAUUCCUGCUUUGGUGCGUCCUCCUGAGAUCUGUGCUUCGUGCCAGGGCUGAUGAUGAUCCAGGCUCUACACCUUCCACUCCCAGUGGAGCACAUCAAUCACCUCCUCUCCUCUCACACCACCAGAGCGGAGAGGGAGGUGUUGGGGCGGGGUGGUGAAGACUUUGACUUAACUUAACUUAUAACAGAGAGAAAAAGACUGAAGUUGUGGGGUGACUUGCUGAUACCUCUGGUUCCUCACCAUCUGAAGUCACAGGAUACGAA